rnacentral:lncRNA from 1 species
UUUAAUUAUCUCUUUUAAAUUCUAUUUUUAGCCUAUUUUGAAACUUCGAUCAGAAGCAUUCAAGCAAUUUAGAGAAUUAGUGGAAGUUGUCUGAGCAAUAGUAACUCAAAUUGUCUUUAGACUUUAGAGUAUUGACAACGUAUGGAUUUAAAUUGAAGCAUGAACUUUGAUUAUUUUGAUUUUGGCUUAAAUGACUUAGGAAUCCAGAGAGCUUAAGAAUAUUGUUGCAACUUGGGUUCUCAAUGAGUUUAAUUUUACAUGAUAUCAAAGAAGAUUAACAAGUCAAAACAUAAAUGAACAUAUAUUUUAAGUUAUUUUGACAAUUGAAUUAACUGUAGUAGUAUGCUUUAGAUGAUGGGGAGGAAUCAAGUGUUGCACAAUGGGGAAAUUGCUGCACUGCUACACUAGUUGACAAAAAUAUUAACAACUACGUAGAUUCUUAUCUUUGAGACACACAGUAGCAUUGCUAUUUGGCCGUCCAACUGAUAUGUGUGAGUACUGUGUUACUUUCUAAAUAUUGCAACUGCAUGUCAUGUGUUCUGUAGCAUUGAUGCGCCUUAAAAUUUUACGCUCUAUUCAUUUAUGUGUACAUAUUGAGUUAAAGAGAAUCAAACAGCAUUUAGUCAGGUUUAUAUACUCACUGUGAUUACAUUUUGAUAAAGAAAAGCUACUUGUCAAUUUGUAAGGAUUUCUAGUUCAUGAAACUUUGUCAAUUGCCUUCUCUAGAUAUUAUCGUUAGUUUAAUUCAUGGAUUGUAUUAUGCUAGUUGUGUUGGUUAUCGUAUGUUUAUGUGGUAAUGAAGAAAUCUUGCGAGUCUUAUUUUCCUUGAGUGCCACAGUAUAGCCAAAUAUGGCGUAUAGUUCCUGCUUAAUGGUCGAAUCUUCUAUAAUGCUUCUUGAACCUGAAAGUACUCAAAUUUUACUUUGCUUGAAUUGCUUAAAUUCUGUUUAAAUCUUUGGAUCCUAAUUCUCUCGUUGAAGAUGCUUAUUUUAGACUCACAUCUAUGGUUCAUGAUCACUUGAUUUGUGCAAAUUUCAUCAAAAUAUAGUUUCUCCCACUCCCACGUGCAUUUUUCUUUGGAUUAAUAUAUAUAUAUAUAUAUAUAUAUAUAUAUAUAUAUAUAUAUAUAUAUAUAUAUAUAUAUAUAUAUAUAUAUAUAUAUUUCUUUUCCCAGGUGAAGAUAUCCCACCAUUGCAGUUAAAGGAAGGCGUUUUCCGAUGUAUCAUGCAGCUCUAUGAUUGCCUUUUGACUGAGGUUCAUGAACGUUGCAAAAAGGGUUUGAGCUUGGCAAAACGUUUAAAUAGCAGCCUUGCUUUCUUUUGUUAUGAUCUGUUGUCAGUCAUUGAGCCACGCCAAGUUUUUGAGCUGGUACAAUGAUCCUUUAACCUUUAAAUUCCUUUGCCUAAUAGUUAAUAGGAUUGUUAAUUUGAUUCUCUCUGUUACUAGUUAUAUAUUUUGUUGCUUUUCUUGGUUAUCUAAAAGUUAGAUGGAAUUUCUUGGAUCCACAAAUUUGUAAGAUUGAAGGAGAUAAGUUUCUGACUACUGUGAUUAGCCAAGAUGUUAACAAUACAAUAAGUUAAAAGUAUGGAACAAAAUGAUAGAUGUCUUGUCAAAGCAUGUCUCUCAUUGCAACAAUUACCAUUUAUGCUCUUAAUAUAAGUCGGGGACAAUCUGUAAUGCUAUCUGAUAUUUGCCAGGUUUCAUUAUAUCUGGACAAGUUUGCUGGAGUUUGCCAGUCAAUUCUGCAUGAGUGCAAGCUUUCCUUUCUGCAGAUUAUAUGCGAUCAUGAUCUUUUUGUGGAAAUGCCUGGAAGAGAUCCUUCAGAUAGGUACCAAGGACUCUGAUCUUUCAAACAGUCAUAAUGAUGCAUAUAUUAUUCAAUAUAUUGGGCUGUGUACAUUUGUCUAUAAGCAUUUAAAUGCCAAUGCUUUACGUCCUUUAGUACGAGUAUUCUGAACUUUUAGGCAGAAGUACUAGACUAUCAUCCUGAAGAAAGCUCACAGAGAUUCUUCUGUCCCCAUUUAAUUUUAAACAAGUCAUUAAGUUUACAAACAGUUAUAUUCUGUUGUUUGUCUCCAGGUUGAAGAUUUGUCAUUGUUUAGCACAUGAACAAGCCGGCUAGUUGUUACAACUUUUGACAGUGAAUCUCUAAACCUUGCGGUUUUUAAGAAUAACUGUGACCAUUGAAAUCCAUAGAGUUCAUAGCCCUAUGAAAUGGUUUGCAAAUAAGGAAUUAAUGAGCUGAUCCGAUCCUGCGUAGAUUAAUGAUACUGGUAAUGGUUCCUAUGUAUAGUUUUGAGUGUUUGGUUCACUGAGGCAAUAGCACAAUGCUAACCAUGUAAGGAAGACACAUUGUGUUGGAUACAUCACAGUCAACGAGCUACCUGGUUCUCUUAAAGUCUUUGUUUUGUACUUUGAAUUAGAAGUUAAAUCUUUUGAAAGUCGAUAUCAGGUUGACACUUAUAAAACUAUUAAAUUUUCUGUGUUCUUGUUACUUUCUAGGUAUGUUUCAAUCUACUCUGUAGUAGGAAAGUACUUUGAUGAUGAUGACCUAACUUAUUGAAUCUUGAAGUUACUCAAUGCACUCGCUGACGUGGAAAACAUGACUGGUCGGAACUUUCAUCUAGUUGUCCUAAAUAUUGGAGUACAUAUAAAAUUUAGUAUAAGUAUUUACCAGAUUUAAUGUUUAGAAGUAUUUACCAGAUUAAUAUAGAGGAAACUGUACUGUCACAUGCCUUCUGAUUUGAAGGUUAAAGUUAUGGUCGUGCAAACUGAGUUUUCUAAUUCGUUAUAAUUCCUGCAGAAACUAUCUUUCAUCAGUUUUAAUACAGGAGAUUUUUCUCACGUUGGACCAUGAUGAUUUAUCACAACGGGCAAAAGUAUGUAAUUUGUUUCUACAGAUCUCUUCAUAUAAAUUCUUGUUUUGUGGUUCCUUGAACCUUUUUUUUUUUCCGGUGCUUAACUAGAUCCUACUUUUGCUAUCUUUGAUUUUUUUCUUUUUUUCGUUGCAUUUUCAUGUAUCAAUCAAAUGAAGAUUCUCUUUUUCAAUAUUGUAGGCAGCUCGUAUGUUGGUGAUCCUUUUGUGCAAACAUGAAUUUGACUACCGUUACCAAAAACGCGAGGAUAAAUUAUACAUCGCUCAGCUUUAUUUUCCAUUUAUCGGACAGGUAGGAAAGAAAUGCCAAAUUCUUUGAUGUCUUUAAUACCAGGUUUUACUUCCGACUUUGUUAGAUUUUUUAUGAGGUCGAAAGUUCAAUAAUUCUUUUUGAAAAUAUACUAAAAAAUUAUGACAUUUAGUUGCGUUUCUCCGCAUUUGAAUUUCUGUGUCUCUAUUAAACUAUCUUUGUUUGUUUGAAUUUCUCACAUUUCAUCAUUAGAGAGUAUAAAUUUAAGGGCUAGUAUUUCACAGUAUCUUUUGUUUCCCAUUUCCGAGUUUUUUCAAUGUCCAGGCUAACCAAAAAAAGCAUCACCAUGCAACGAGGAUGCAGAGGAAGAAUGCUACUGUGGAUGUGUUUUAAGUCUCGAAAUUAAGGUUUUUUAGUCAGGACACAGUAUAUUAGUUAAGGAUGUUGGUUGAUGAAGAUAGGGACUGCUGAGUCCGUAUGUUGUGGACUAAAUGCACUAAGAAAGAAAAACUCUCACUAAGAAGACCGUCCUAGGUUUUGCCUCAGAGUUUUGCUAAAUUCAUGUUGAUGACAGUCUAAAUAUUCCAAGGUUCGAAAUGGUUCAGGAGUAUUGAGAAAGCAUGUUUUUAGAUGUGAAAAGCGAUUGUGAGGAGAAUUGGCUAGUUAACCACCAAGGGCAUAUAGGCCAUGUUUGGAUGUUGGAAUAAGUUAUCAAGUGAUAUUAUAUUCUGUAAGAAGAUUUCCUAUUGUGAUCGGAAGCUAGGAGUGUAAUCAAAUGUUUAGAAUGGAAUAACAUAAGAUAAAUUACUUAUAGGCGAAAUAUGCUAUCCUACUAAAUAAUAAUGUCAAAGACCUUCCAAGGAGCAAAAAUCAAAUUCCUACUUUUCAAUUUCACCAGAAAAUCUUCGUAUUGAAUAAGUUAUAUAUUAUUGGUAACUUAUUUUGCCAUCCAAACAAGGCCAUAGUGUAAAUGUAAUCAAUGAAAUUUGUGAUCUGCUAAUAUUCUUGGGAAAUAAAUGUUAACUGACUUAAAACAUAUGGCUCAAGAAAUAAAGCCAUUACAUCAGAGUUCUCAAUUGUCAAUUGAACUAGUUCUAGGGAGUAGCGAUUGUUAUGUAUGCUUCAUUGUUAAAACUGUUUUAGCAUCGAGCUAGUGCAAAACCUCAAAAGAUCUGUUCAUUAUGGGAGAGCUGCAAAUAAUAAAAAUCAUUGCAGGUUCUGGAAACGAUCGACUGCCUUAUUUGAAAAUAUGCCAGAACUAAUAGUCCUAUAAACGUAUGGUAAAAUUCCAAAUAAUUUUUUACUUUGAUGAGGACAUACUUCUAGUCAUGACCAUACUGUUCAUGUGGAAGAUAUGCUAUCUGAAUAUAGUUGUUGCUGCAUGGAUUUUUGUUCUCAAAACAUAAUCCGUUUCCUUCACUGCAGAUAUUAGAUGAGAUGCCUGUAUUCUAUAAUCUAAGUGCUGUUGAGAAACGUGAAGUUUUAGUUGUCAUCUUGCAAAUUCUAAGGAAUUUGGAUGAUGCAUCCCUUGUCAAAGCAUGGCAACAAAGCAUCGCUAGAACAAGGUUGUUUUUCAAGCUCCUUGAAGAGUGUCUCCUGCAUUUUGAGGUUCGUAUUCGAGCAAUGAUCACAUUGAUGUUUGUCCAUGUAAUAUUUUGAUAUCAUUGUUAACAUUGCUUGGUUGGGUCAUUGGUCUUUGGUAUAUUCUUAUGAUUUUCCAUUGUUUAUUCUGUCUGUGUGAAUACGUUACAGCACAAAAGACCAGCUGACAGCUUGCUGAUGGGCUGUAGUUCGCGGAGCCCUGAAGGUGAAGUUCCUGCUUCUCCAAAGUAUUCUGAUCGGCUUUCCCCGGCAAUCAACACAUAUUUGUCUGAGGCUUCUCGUCAGGAAGUUAGAGUAUGCCUAAAACCUAGUUUUCAUGCUUGAUAAAAUCUUGAGUAAAAGAUGUUGCAAUACAUUAGCAUUGGAUGUGUACCUUUAUAGUAUAUCACUAAAUGCUACAUACACUAUGCAGCCCCAAGGAACACCAGAAAAUGGAUAUUUGUGGCAUAGAGUCAGUCCUCAGCUAAGCUCUCCUAAUCAACCAUAUUCUCUAAGAGAAGCUCUUGCACAAGCACAAUCUUCUCGAAUUGGUACCACAACACGAGCAUUAAGAGAGUCUCUACACCCAAUACUAAGGCAAAAGUUGGUAUGUUUUACGUGCUUUUUUUUUUUAAUCAACAUGUCUCCAAAUAGGCCUCCGCAAAAUUACCAAUUUACAUUCGUAUCCUUGAAAAAAAUCUGAACUUCUAUAUUAUGCCCUUAAUACACUUGAUUUGUUACAUGUAUACCCUUGUAGUUACGAAAUUUUCUCCUUGGAAAAACUCUUUUUAUGCAAAUCACAAAACCAACUUCCCCUCAUGAAUUUGAUGACUCCUGAAAGUAAAAUUACUUUUGUAAGGAAUUGCUUUGAGGAAUAGAGACGGAAAUUCAGCUUUUUAUGGUGGUAUGUAUGUGAAUAGGUGAAUUUUUGGAGAUUUUUAUAUGUAAAAGCUUUCUUGUUAAGGAUCUUCACAGCUCUGGGUAGUUGAGCUCUUUGACACCAUACAUUUUCUUCAGGAAAUUUGGGAAGAGAAUCUCAGUACUGCUGUCAGCCUCCAGGUUUUGGAGAUGACCGAAAAGUUCUCAGCUGCUGUAGCAUCUCAUAGUAUUGCUACUGAUUAUGGAAAGCUGGAUUGCAUAGCAUCCAUCCUCACGGGUCUCUUCUCUCGAAGCCAACCGCUGGCGUUUUGGAAAGCAUUAUUCCCUGUAUUCAACAGCAUAUUCAAUCUCCAUGGUGCGACGCUAAUGGCAAGAGAGAAUGACCGCUUCUUGAAGCAAGUAGCUUUUCAUCUUCUUAGACUCGCUGUUUUCCGAAACAAUUCCAUUCGGAGAAGGGCUGUUGUUGGAUUACAGAUACUUGUUAGGGUAAGCUACCAAUUAUGUUGUGAUCUGCAACUUGGGGGUUUUCUGCAGGAACAACCCACCAAAUUUUUGGUUUUGCUAAUUUUAAUCUGCUUUUUUCGUUUUCAUGAAUUCGGACUGAAAUACUUUAUGGACUGAAAUACCCUUAGUCCUCCUCGGCCCCUAAUCAGAUCAAUACAUGAAUUAUAUAGAAACUAGAAGACUUCAGUCAGGAUUAUUUCAAUCCAAAAUUGCAAAAAGUGAAAUAGGCAGUAUAGAAUUGGAGAACUGAAAAAUCAGCAGUUUUUUUUGGCAAAUUGGCCUCCAAGGGAUAUGCUUGAAUUAAAAAAUAAUGCAGAUUAUUUUCUUAUCUACAGAAUUCAUUUUACUAUUUCAUGCACACAACACGGCUGAGGGUGAUGCUGACAAUUACCUUGUCGGAGUUGAUGUCUGAUGUGCAAGUGACUCAGAUGAAGUCUGAUGGAUCUCUUGAAGAGAGCGGCGAAGCACGACGUCUUACGAGAUCAUUGGAAGAAGUAGCGGAUGAAGGUAGGAGUGAGGAACUCUUAAGAGAGUGUGGACUUCCUGGAAAUGCCCUUCAUGCAGUCCCCGAGGGUUCAACAGAUAAUAGGUGGUCUUGGUCUGAGGUCAAACUUCUAUCUCAGAGUCUUCUCCAGGCCCUUGAUGCAGGACUAGAACACGCUCUUUUGGUAAGAUGUUUCUAUUUUGGUGUAUCAUAUUUCUAUGCUGAAAAAGUGAACUGAAGUUAUAUAUCAGUUCUUCAAUUGCCAUUUGUUCUACUCUAGAGACAGAAAAUUGGAAACGUGCAGACAAUGAGGUCCUUAGAUUAACAUCCUAAAUGGUCACAAUUAAGGAGAUGCCACUUAACAAGAUGCCGAAAUAUUACAUUGUAUAAUAACUAAUGACUUGAGAUUUGAGAUAAAUCUAAUUGUUUAAUUAUUGAUAUUCUAGUAAGUAGCAACUAGAGUAAGAUUGUUCGCAUCAAUACACUGUUGCAUUAGGAUAGAACAAUUUGUCAAAGAUUCAUCUGAUGGGGAAAAAAAUAUUAUGUUUUCUUUACCAGAUGUACAUUUGCAUGGUAGUUCUUAUGGCUAAUUUGUAUCUUUUGUAGGGUUUUAAUAUUCUUUUACCUUGCAGGCUUCUGUAAUGACUGUGGACAAAUAUGCGGCUGCCGAGAGCUUUUACAGACUAGCAAUGGCUUAUGAAUCCGUUCCAGAUCUGCACAUCAUGUGGCUGCUGCAUUUGUGUGAUGCACAUCAGGAGAUGCAGUCGUGGGCUGAAGCCGCACAGUGUGCAGUUGCUGUAGCUGGUGUCAUCAUGCAGGUAAUUGUCAUACCCUUCAAUUGUUUCUUUUCUGUUCUUUCUUUUAUGGGAAAAAUGUGCAGAGUUUACCUAAACUAUGUCGAAAUGAAAAAUGAAAAAUGAACAUCUUGAUUUUCCUACCUUUUUUUUCAUUACUCAAUGAUUUCGAAAAAUUACACUGACUCUUCUUAGCAUGUAAUGGAUUUGUGAAACUCUUUUGUUAAAAAAAUGUUAAUGUCAAGAAGCGUAUGGAACCUACUAAUUUUUCCUUUUCAAUUAGGCACUUGUUGGAAGAAAUGAUGCUGUGUGGAGCAGGGAACAUGUGGCUUCUCUGCGGAAGAUCUGUCCUGUGGUCAGCAGUGAUGUCAGUGCCGAGGCCUCUGCAGCUGAAGUUGAAGGAUAUGGUGCAUCAAAACUAACAGUGGAUUCUGCUGUGAAAUAUCUCCAGCUUGCGAAUAAGCUCUUUUCUCAAGCUGAGCUCUACCACUUCUGUGCCAGCAUAUUGGAACUUAUAAUCCCAGUCUAUAAAAGCAGAAGGGCUUACGGGCAGCUUGCUAAGUGCCACACUUCCCUAACAAAUAUCUACGAGUCCAUUCUUGAACAGGAGUCGAGCCCGAUUCCAUUCAUUGAUGCAACUUACUACCGAGUUGGGUUUUAUGGCGAACGGUUCGGAAAGCUAGAUAGGAAAGAAUAUGUUUACAGAGAGCCUCGUGAUGUGCGUUUGGGUGACAUCAUGGAGAAGCUGAGUCAUAUUUACGAGUCCAAAAUGGAUGGCAAUCACACCCUUCAUAUUAUUCCAGAUUCUAGGCAAGUCAAUGCAGAUGAGUUACAGCCUGGUGUCUGUUAUCUACAGAUUACAGCAGUAGACCCAGUUAUGGAGGACGAAGAUUUAGGCAGUCGGAGAGAGAGGAUAUUCUCCCUUUCUACUGGAACUGUGCGUGCUCGUGUAUUUGAUCGAUUCUUGUUUGAUACCCCAUUUACCAAAAAUGGGAAGACCCAGGGUGGGUUAGAGGACCAGUGGAAGAGGCGGACGGUUCUCCAGAACGAGGGCUCUUUUCCUGCUUUGGUGAACCGGCUUUUGGUUGUCAAGUCCGAGUCUUUGGAGUUCUCUCCUGUGGAGAAUGCCAUUGGAAUGAUCGAGACCAGGACGGCUGCGCUUAGGAAUGAGCUUGAAGAGCCGCGGAGUUCAGAAGGUGACCAACUGCCAAGGCUUCAGAGUUUACAGAGGAUACUCCAAGGCAGUGUUGCCGUGCAGGUAAGAUGAAGUGCAUUAAAGUGGUAAUCAUGCAGAUUAGUUAGAGCUUGUUUUGCUCGGGUGGAGAUUUCACAAAGUGCUGUUUGACUGGAGGGCUUUUGGAAGAAGCACUAAUAGCUUUCGCAUUAUGAUCCCCUAAACAAACAGAAACGUUCUGUACUGGAGUUUCUACUUGUGGAGCCUAGAAAGAUCAGCUUUCUGCCAUAGUGGAAGCUCCAGGCAGCCUUUUUUUUUUUAUCAAUUGCCCUGUUUCUGAAUUCAACUCCAGAAGAUAGGGCAGACCGGUGCUUAUUGAUCUUCUUAAUUAUAAUUUCCUCUUGUUAUUCUUAUUUCUUACUAACUAGAUGUCGGCGUAAUGUGACGCAGGUGAACAGCGGAGUGCUAAGUGUGUGUACGGCAUUUUUGUCGGGUGAGCCAGCGACCAGGCUCCGGUCCCAAGAGCUCCAGCAGCUAAUUGCUGCGUUGCUUGAAUUCAUGGCUGUUUGCAAGCGUGCAAUACGUGUACACUUUAGAUUGAUAGGUGAAGAAGAUCAAGACUUCCACACACAGCUUGUGAAUGGGUUUCAAUCCCUUACAGCCGAGCUUUCUCACUACAUCCCGGCCAUACUUUCGGAGCUCUGAUUGCAUUUCAUUGGCCAUAUGUUGUGUUCAUAUGCGUUGUCAUUUUCGAGGCUCAUGGUCUUUUUGUUAUGUUUCCAUUUUGCAUGUUUGGUUGUACAUGUAUUUAUCCAGAUGACAGUUGCGCAGGCUUUGCAGUACCUGGUGAUUUUAGUAGAUGUUGCUUUAAGUUUUGGUUGUACAAUGUGUAUAAGCUGGUUUUUCAGGCCAAGUGCAGUGCACUGAAAAUUCGUCUCGGAGAGGCCCUGUUUGGUUGUUUGCAACACCAGUCUCCGAGGGGCCUCUUUCACCUUAAGGACAACAUUAGACUAAGAGCAUGGUUCCUCCUCACGAUUGUUAAUGUCUUCUCUUUAGUUAUAAGAUCCAUCGAAGCCCUUCUAUUUCGUCUACUCGUCUACCGAUCUUUGAUGGCGUUAUAAGUCGGUUUUUGUACUGAAAUGAGAUGUGUUUGUUUAUGUCUGAGCUCUCGCACCUGUUAGUUUUAUUUACACCUCGGCCACCGCACGCGAACGUAGAAUUAGUCAUCCAACUAUGAUAAUUUCUGUGAAGAACGCUUUUGGUUAUGCCACCUGGUUGCUAGUGUAAAACAGCUUUGGACAGAUUAGUCCAAACAAAAUUUUAAAAAAUGACCCAACUCAGAUUUUCCUCAAAUUAGGAGUGUAAGCAAUCUAUAGAAAGUUGCAUUCUUAAACAUAAAAAAAUUCUGUGCCUAAGCUUGAAGGCUACCCGUAGAUUAAUCUCCAUGUUUAAACCAGUUGCAACGUCCCCAGAUGGCAUCACAAUAAAAUGGAAGCAACGUCUGAAGAACAAUACUACAAAAUACUAUGUCUAAACUACUCUGAUAUGUUUUAUGCAUGAUAUUAUUCUCAAAAUUUACAUAGAUACGACCAAAUACAAUAAAGCAAACCAACAUUUGUGGGGUACUAAUGCACACGCAUACACUGCUUACCAUGCGGCAAAAGCAUGGCCAAUAAUAUGCUUCAUACGUGUUAUUCAUCCACUGAUUUUACACGGUUGAAGGCGCACUGGAAAGCGAUACACUCACACAGAAGAAGAAUCAGAAGCGGACUUCUGGUUUUCAGCUAGUUGGUUGUGUAGGAAGUCCAGUACUGAUUUACGCUGAAAAAGGAAAGCAGAUAUAUUAACACGUAAUUUAGAAAAAAGCUAGGAAAACAAUGAGACAAGUAUUGCUUAGUUACCCGUUGUUCGACAACAGUUUCAUCAGCAUCUAGCUUCAAAGAUUCUAAGCAUUUGAUCGCUUCCUCAAACCGAUCUACUGCCACAUUCUCGUUGCCGAGAUUCCGAUCCACAUCUGCAACUUUGGCUAGAGAAAUCGCCAGAUCAACAACCUAUGCCGAAAGAGAUACAAAGCGUUGAGAAACUUAGAACACCUAUAGAGUUGAUUUUUUCUUUAAAAAUACACAAUACACAAUACACAAUACAAUACAAUAUGCUAUAUAAUAUAACAUACAACAAAGCACAAUACUCGAUAACAAUAUAUAAUACACUACAAAGCAAUAGAAUAUACAAACAUACAAAACAGAACGCAAUCCAAUGCAGCGCAAUAUAGUACAAACAGAGACUACAUAAUACAAUAAUAUAAUGGAAUAUACAAUACAAUGCAAUACAAAACAACACAUAGCAAACAAACAAAUACAAUACAAUACAAAACAGAAGACAAUAAUAUAACACAACACAGUGUACAUAUAUAUGCAAUAUACAGCAUAACACAAUAUAAAACAAUACACUAUGCUAUAUAACAUAAUACAAUAUGAUGCAAUACAAGACAAUACAAUACAAUAAUAUUAUAUACAAAGCAACGUUUUCUAAAAAAAAAAAAAAUACAAAGCAAUGUAGAAAUAUAGUAUAUAGUAUACGUAUAUACAAUAUGCAAAACAACACAAUGCAUACAUAAUACACAACAUGACAAUCACCACACAAUACAACAUAAUACACUAUGAAAUAUAAAGCAAUACAAUAUAAAUACACUAUAUAAUAUAUCACAAUACAAUAUAGCAAUACAAUACACCAUAUGAUAUAUACAAUAACAAUACCAUGUUAUAUGCAAUUCAGCAUACAUUGCAUGCAAUGAACGAUAUACAAUACAAUAUACAAUAUAAAAUACAAUACAACAGAAUAAAAUAUGCAACACAAUACAAUACAAUGUAAAAUGAAAUAACACACCAUAUAAUACAAUACAAUACAAUAUACAAUGUAAAACAAUACAAUACAUAAAAUAAACUACAGUAUACAAUAUAUAGCAAUACAAAACGGUGAUAAAAAUAAUUUGCAAUAUAAAAUACAGUAUUACAUACAAUAUAAUACUCGACAGAAACACAAUAAAAUAUAACAUACAAUACCAUACUCGACAAAAACAUACAACACAAUACAUAAUGAUAAGAUGCAAUACAACACAAUGUACAAUAUACAAUAUUGAAUACAAGACUUCAAUAUAUUGUACAAUACACUACAAUAUAUUAUAUAAACAAAACAAUUUGCUAUAUAAGACAAUACAAUUUGCUGUAUAUAUAUAUAUAUAUAUAUAUAUAUAUAUAUAUAUAUAUAUAUAUAUAUAUAUAUAGAGUCCGGCUACUAUACUAUUAUGAGUACGAUCGCCCUCGUACUCAUAAGUUGUUUUCGAUGAUAGAGCUUCCGAAUCNNNNNNNNNNNNNNNNNNNNNNNNNNNNNNNNNNNNNNNNNNNNNNNNNNNNNNNNNNNNNNNNNNNNNNNNNNNNNNNNNNNNNNNNNNNNNNNNNNNNNNNNNNNNNNNNNNNNNNNNNNNNNNNNNNNNNNNNNNNNNNNNNNNNNNNNNNNNNNNNNNNNNNNNNNNNNNNNNNNNNNNNNNNNNNNNNNNNNNNNNNNNNNNNNNNNNNNNNNNNNNNNNNNNNNNNNNNNNNNNNNNNNNNNNNNNNNNNNNNNNNNNNNNNNNNNNNNNNNNNNNNNNNNNNNNNNNNNNNNNNNNNNNNNNNNNNNNNNNNNNNNNNNNNNNNNNNNNNNNNNNNNNNNNNNNNNNNNNNNNNNNNNNNNNNNNNNNNNNNNNNNNNNNNNNNNNNNNNNNNNNNNNNNNNNNNNNNNNNNNNNNNNNNNNNNNNNNNNNNNNNNNNNNNNNNNNNNNNNNNNNNNNNNNNNNNNNNNNNNNNNNNNNNNNNNNNNNNNNNNNNNNNNNNNNNNNNNNNNNNNNNNNNNNNNNNNNNNNNNNNNNNNNNNNNNNNNNNNNNNNNNNNNNNNNNNNNNNNNNNNNNNNNNNNNNNNNNNNNNNNNNNNNNNNNNNNNNNNNNNNNNNNNNNNNNNNNNNNNNNNNNNNNNNNNNNNNNNNNNNNNNNNNNNNNNNNNNNNNNNNNNNNNNNNNNNNNNNNNNNNNNNNNNNNNNNNNNNNNNNNNNNNNNNNNNNNNNNNNNNNNNNNNNNNNNNNNNNNNNNNNNNNNNNNNNNNNNNNNNNNNNNNNNNNNNNNNNNNNNNNNNNNNNNNNNNNNNNNNNNNNNNNNNNNNNNNNNNNNNNNNNNNNNNNNNNNNNNNNNNNNNNNNNNNNNNNNNNNNNNNNNNNNNNNNNNNNNNNNNNNNNNNNNNNNNNNNNNNNNNNNNNNNNNNNNNNNNNNNNNNNNNNNNNNNNNNNNNNNNNNNNNNNNNNNNNNNNNNNNNNNNNNNNNNNNNNNNNNNNNNNNNNNNNNNNNNNNNNNNNNNNNNNNNNNNNNNNNNNNNNNNNNNNNNNNNNNNNNNNNNNNNNNNNNNNNNNNNNNNNNNNNNNNNNNNNNNNNNNNNNNNNNNNNNNNNNNNNNNNNNNNNNNNNNNNNNNNNNNNNNNNNNNNNNNNNNNNNNNNNNNNNNNNNNNNNNNNNNNNNNNNNNNNNNNNNNNNNNNNNNNNNNNNNNNNNNNNNNNNNNNNNNNNNNNNNNNNNNNNNNNNNNNNNNNNNNNNNNNNNNNNNNNNNNNNNNNNNNNNNNNNNNNNNNNNNNNNNNNNNNNNNNNNNNNNNNNNNNNNNNNNNNNNNNNNNNNNNNNNNNNNNNNNNNNNNNNNNNNNNNNNNNNNNNNNNNNNNNNNNNNNNNNNNNNNNNNNNNNNNNNNNNNNNNNNNNNNNNNNNNNNNNNNNNNNUUUUACUUCGUAACAAUUUUUAAAUCUCUGAUCAAUUUUGGAAUAAGUUUCAAGUCAUAGAGCUCACACCCCCUAAUUUUGCUUUGAAUUUUCAGUCCUUACUUUAAGAUAAAGUUAUUGUUUGAAGCUAUUUUAAUUUUUAUCUAUAUAUUUGUACAUCAUUAAUUCAUUAAUUUUUCAUUUAUCUCUACUGUGAAUUCAAAGCUUAAAAAUAUAAAUAUGAAUAGUUUUGUGACUUAAUGGAUGGUAAGUAGGGAUGCAAAUGGAUCCGGGUUGGUGGAGCUCCCGUCCAGAUCCGCCCCCGACGAGGCAGUAAGUGGGAGAAAAUAAACGGAUUUGGGGCGAAAAACGGGGUAAAGUUUACGAUCCGAGACGGAUUCGGGGCAGGAAACGGGAGAAAUUUUGACCCGCCCCGAAUCCGCUCCGCCAUGAUCCGCCCCGAAUCCGCCCCGAAAAUCAUUUAUAUUUUAAAAAAAAUAUUCCUAAAAAAUAAUGUAUUUACAAAAAAGUUUAAAAUACAAAUAAGUUAGUACUCUCAUUUCUAAUAUAUUUGAAACUUUUGAAUUUUGUUUUGAAUUGUUAUUGAUAUUUUUGAUUUUUAUAAUUGAUAUUGUUAAAUUAUAUAUAUAAUAUUAUUAAAAAUUAUUAAUUUAUAUUUUACAAAAUAUUAAUAAUAUUAACCCGCCACGGAUUCGGGGUGGGGUUCCCGCCCCCAGAUCCGCCCCGUUUGCAUCCCUAAGCACACCAAGCCCCAUGCGUAGGGAUGUAAACGGGCAGCACCCGUGCCCGCUCGGCCUGAACAUCCAGGCCGUGCUAGGCCUACCUCUCGCGGCCCGACGGCACGGCCCGGCCCGAAGCGGGCAUGGGCCGUGCCGGGCUGAGGAGAGGCAGGUAGCCCAGCACGUGCACGGCCCGCUUUGGGCUUGCAUAGCGGCUAGCAUGGCCCGGACCGCAAGGCCCAAUGCAAGUUGCCUUGGACCUUGGGGUCUGAGCUCUUGGGGAGAAGGGCUUGGCCCUCCUCCCCAGGAGCUCUCCCAAGGUCUGCCCGGUCCAAUGUACAUCUCAAUUCUCUUUUUUCUUAAAAAAAAGAGAAUGCAAAUUUAUUAUAAAAAAUAUUUUAAGGGGCCGGCCCAGCCCGGCACGGCCUUGCCUUCCGGGCCGUGUCGGGCUGGAGGCUAGGUACCUUGGGCCCGGCACGACCAGGCCCAAAUUUGAAACCGGACUGGGCCGGGCCGGCCCCUAGCCCAUUUCCGCCAGGCUAACUCCUACCCAUGCGCCACCUCCACACCACCCGAUCCCACACACCACACUACACCACACCACACAACACUAUGUAUGUGUGUGUAUAUAUAUAUAUACGAUAUACAACACAAUAUACAAUACUCCAAACAACACAAAACACACGAUAGCACACAACGUAGAAUAUAUAAUUUAUAAAAUACGAUAGAAAUGGCAGGGAACAACACCAACAACCGUAUACAACAGCAAACACCUACAAUAGGAUCAUACUGCAUAAAGUAUCAAUAUAUAGAAAACACAGGCAGCAUCACUCUAUUGAGAGUUGAAAAUUACCAAAAAUGUCAAACAACGUGUAUUUCACGUAAUAGUAGAUAUUACUGUAAAAGCCAUCAAAUUACUACUUUCAUUAAUAUCAACAUAAGAAAGUCCAUAGAAAAAGAUCCUUAAAAUGUUCCAAAAAGCAAUUAUGCAGCUGACAAAAACUAACUCUUGUCAAAAGAAGAAAAGAGAGGCAGAUGAAAGAAAAGAAAAACCAAAUAACUUGAGAUGAGGAGAAGUUAGAAAUGCAAAGUGCUGAUUGUUGUCUCCUUUGUACUUUCCAAGAAUGUUCUGAUUACAAGGGUGUGCAUUUACGAUUGUUGAGAAUCUUUCCUCAGUAUUCUCCACAUAUCCUAACCAAAUACUGCAGAUAAUUGUGAAGCAUCUCAACAAGAUGAUAGCCUACUUAGGAAUGAAGUCUACAUAGAAAGUUCUCUUUGCACAAACUGAUUUUGUUUUAGGAGCUUCAGCAAAUAGCAAAAUAAAAUUUCCCAUCUACAUAGGAAUUAGGAAUAAAAGUCUGAUUUGGUAUGGUUUAAAUGGUGAAUCUAAAGCAAGUUCAGAUCUGCUGGGAGGAAAACAAAGUUGAUUUUGUAUUUAGAGUUUGACCCAAUCAAAAGGCCACAUCCCCCUACUGCCAAACAGACACGACACACCCAACCCACUCCCCAACAAACAUACACACGCACACGCACACACACACACACACACACACACACACACACACACACACAAAUGAAAAAGUAAAACAGAAGAACUUCACAUGUUUGAUUGAUCCACUUAACAAGACAUAAAAAAGCUCUUACAAAUUAUCUGAACUGCAAUCCUAAAGUGGAUAAGGCUUCAUAAACACGACAGCAGAUUUGGCACAAUUCAUUCACAGAUUAAUUCCAGUAGGAAAAAAAAAACUAAUAUUUUUUAGGUAAAUGAACCUUUAAGCAAGUAAAGGUGCUUAACCUGGGAAGGCACAUUUGAGUGCUCUUUCACUGCAUUACGACGAACAUCCAACGACCGUGCAUAAUAACUUCUCGCAGAUUCAAGAUCCCCCCCAUAAUAUCUAAGGUCUCCAAUUUUAUUUAGCGAAACAGAUAGAGUGUGCACCAACUGUAGAAGAAUUUGAGGCAAUAUCAAUAGAGUCAACAGGUUCAUGAGUUCAAGAGUUCCGCAAAAAUUGGAAAAUUAACAAUACUACAAGAGUAGAAUAAGAACCUCCAAAUCCUUUGUAGGCAGCUUUGAAAGGAUCUCAGCACUCUCUUCAUAGUUACUAACUGCCGAAAUUGAAUCUCCCAUCGCUCGACUGCAAUGGACAUGGAUGCUCAUGGAAUUAGGGUGACAAAAUGAUAGUACAUGAACAAUGUCUAGGAAAAAUAGUGGAAUCACUAAAUAAAAAAAAUACUGAUGAUUAUAAUAUUUCAUCGCAAGGAUUUUCUGGAGGCAUACUAAAGACAUAAGUCUGGAAUAGUGCAAAAGGCACAAAUGGCAUUAGUACCAUCUAGAUUGAUUUUGACAACAAAUAGAACACUGUGAACAUGAUGGGACCAAGCAAAGAUUGAUAUGCUGAGGCAUAGAAGCAUGCCAAUCGGCAAUGCCUUCAAAUAGACUGGGGCAUGCCGACACUAUUGGCACAAAAGGAAGUAGGAACACUCCUGCAAGGAGCCUGUUCUACAUGUUGGGACACAUUAGCACACAUUAGCAGAUGGAGUAUUAGCAGUACAUGGAUUGCCAUCAAAAAUGCCAGUGCAACAUGAAAAUUCGUCCUGUUGAGAUACUGUCAAAUUUAAUUUAAAUAUUAAAAUUCAUGGAUUUGAUAAUUAAAAUGAAUGAUUUCAGUACAUCUGCUACUUUCCAAAAUGCAUAUCAAAACAACGGAAACAUAUAUCCACAUUGACUGCUUAAAACUAGUAAUUACUGAAACCUGGAGUGACACUACCACACUAAUACUUGCAAAAUCAAGGUGAUACAGCACAUACUUUAACAAAGUGCACCAAAGAAAAAAGAAUAACUAUAGGCAAAGAAAAUCAAACCAGCAGUCCCCCAGCAUUCCUAAGACCGCGCCAAGUUGUGAACACAACUCUUGGGAAUCUCCUGCUGCUUUUAGUUGCUCCCUGAUAUCUUCCGCACAAAGACUAAGCCUUGAUUUUGCACUUUCGAAAUUCUGUGCACGAAAAGCCUGCAGAAGAAAGAGAAAACAGAACUUUUAAAUGGUCAUACAAUUGCAGAGGAAUAACAAUAAAAGAUAAAUAUGUUGCAUUGUCAUCACUCUAACCCUCAUUGCUUGUUGCACCAAAAAAGCACCCCUCUCCAUGGAGACAUCCUCAUAUAUUACUUUUUUCUGCCCAUCUCCUACUUCUCUUGCAUCUUCACUUAAUUGAGACCUCUUGAUUCUAGCAUGACCAUCAAUAAAGCGAUCAACAAUGGUUUGAAGAUCUGUGUCAGGUUCAAUGUUCUCUAUAUCAGCACCACAGAGUGGACAGUCCUUAAAGCGCGAUAUGCAUGCUCUGUUCAGAUAAUCAACAAGUUAGCACAUUUCAGAUAGCAAUGUAAGCGAGUAAUCGUCUUUGUAUGCAGUACCCACUUGCAAAAUUUAUGGGAGCAAGGCAAACACUUGCUACUUUGAUAAAGCAAGGCCUGGCAGAUCAUGCAGCUUAGAGGACCCAAUUUGAAUGUAUGAGAGUCAUAGCCAAAAGGGCAUUUUGGUGAGACAACAGAAUCAUUGCUCUUUGCGUCGACUUUGUCGUCAUGUUCCUUCUGAUCUUUAUGUUGAUUUUUCUCAAUUUUCACUGGGCAGCUACCGCCAACAGUAGCUGUUUUAGCAAACGGGCAGGCAGAAGUCAUAUUGCUCACGUAUUGCCUGAACAAAUAGAUCACCAUCAAGUGUUAUUAUAGAAAAUUGCGAAUUUCACAUAUAUGCCAAAUUAAUGAAAGUAAUAAAAUGCUAAGGACAGGGAUCAACAAUCACCAUUAAAACAUGAAGCAGAAAUUACGUCAACAAUAAAAUACUUCAAGAAUAGCCAUUUGCAUACAUUAGUUUUUUUAUUUUAACUUGAGUUUACGAACACACCGGUUAAAAAUAUGUCGACUGACAACUGCAAAGCACCAUCCAGUACAGUAAUAUGCAAUUCUAUAUGAUUUGAGUGCGGUCAAGUCACAAAUUAUCAUUAGUACUCCGUAUGUUGUAGAAACACCAGAAACACCAUUUUACAUUCCACCACCUGAAACUCAACUACGAUCCCACAAAACUACAAUUGUUUGUCCCCUUAUUUUGUACAAAAUAAUAUCAAAUACAAUUCAUCCAUGCAGUUUCAAUGGGUCACAUGCAUAUUUACAUGCUAAUUACUGUAUUGAUUUUUUCCCCCUUUUUCCUUAAUCACGGGUGGAAUCAUACAUCACUCACGGAAUCACACAUCCUCUUAUUAAAAUAUAGCCCGUCAAUUUCCUUUUCAAUUCUUUAUCAGCUACACAGAAGCCCUAAAGUGAUUAUUGUUAGCAAAAUAAUUAGACACGUUGAGUGUUCACUUGCCAUUCAUAUAAAUUAGUUCUUGAAAAACCAAGAAAAAAUAAAAAAUCAUUGGCCAAAAAAAAAAAACCCCUCUGAGAACAAUACAAGAUAGGGUUUUGCAAUGCCUCUUUCCCGGUCAAAUUACUUGUUUCCAACACAAAUUAGUUCGCAAAGAAACCCUAAUCUCCCAUUUGAACAUCCUAAAUUCAUCCAACUGCAUACAUAACACACAUAAUGAAAUCAGAUCAAAAUAUUUCUCAUACUAUCACAUACGAAGAGAGUUAGCAAAGAAUCGUUCGUUAAACGCCAAAACCAUCAAUUAAACUACGAAUCCACGGGAAAACACGAUGAAAUCACGAAAAAGAUAUAAUAGCGAAUGCGAAUUGCAAAUCUAAGUUAGGGUUUCGAUCGAUGCUUUACCUCUUGCUUCGCCCUAAUUCGUGCCCUCGUUUCUCUUCCACAGGAUUCCGUGUAAGCAGAGGAUAAAAAUGGCGUCGGAGAGAGAGAGAGAGAGAGAGAGAGAGAGAGAGAGAGGGAGUGGAAAUGAGAUUAGAGAGAGAGAGAGAGAGAGAGAGAGAGAAAGAGAGGGAGUGGAAAUGAGAUUAGAGAGAGAGAGAGAGAGAGAGAGAGAGAGAGAUGGGGAUCGAGAGGCUAAGAAUGAGAUCGAAUUAAUGAGUGGGUAGCGCUACAUGGGAAUGCACUGGGUACAAGUACAACCACAUACGCUUUAACCGGUACGCGCGCGGUGCUGAUCACUCCGUUCAUUAUACGUGAGAUGAAUCACAACCGUCCACCUUCGACGGUACGGAUUAAUCUCACUGCGAACGAGCGGCGUGAUCUACUCCGUGCGUAGCGAUUCCUACGCACUGGGUUGUAAAUAAACCCGAACCCUCGGUGGAUCCCCAAGUGACAGCGUGAAACUGUUGCUUGCACCGGGUGCAUAACUACACCUUAUACACCGGCCUCUAAGAAUACUGAAAAAAAACUCAAUGCCGAUUUAGAAAAUCAAAUUUUAAUUUCUUGGAUGAUAAUAUUCCGACAUUAAUAUUUUAUAUAAAUUGAACAAUAUAUUUGUUUUUGCACUGGUAAUAUCAGAGUUAAUGCUUCAAUAAUAAUUUUUUAAAAUUUCAUAAUUUAUUAUAUAUUAGUUUCGCAGAUGGUGUAUAUUAUAUCUAUAGAAUUGGAUUUUUAAUUUUAAGAUAAUAAUAAAAAAACAUUAGGUGCAGUGCACAAAACACAUGGCUACACCGGAUGCAGGCAUGAUUUCUUGGAAGAAGGGAGAGGCUACAAAUUGGAUGCGGUCUACCACGUCAUCUGAGAAAUUUUUGACUGGAUCUGGUGUAAUAGACCGGCCUGGGCUCCAGAAUUAUGGGCUCCACGCAUAAUAUUAAAAAAAAAAAAAAUUGAAGAGAUUUUUUUUCCUUUUCUUUAAAAAGAAGGAAAGAAUUUUAGGUAAAGAGUGCUUUUCAUACAACAGACCAAGUACUAGACUUCGAAAAUAAUCACAUUAUUUAAUAAGAGAUUUUUUUUUUCGCAUAUCAGUUCUUAAUGAUUUUAUUUAUCUUAUUAAUGUGUUACCAAUAUGAUUCGGGUUUAACUCUGGUCCGCAUUAAAGAGUUUGGACUGCGGAUCAAAACCUGAUCCAGAAACUCAAAUUUAUUCCAAAAUUGAUCUAAAAAAAUAGAAACCCUAUUAGGAAUGAGGGUAGCUAAUAUGAAUAAGUCCAUAUGCUAAAUUAAAUGUAAAUUAACGAAACAUCUUCAGCGAAAGCGAGAACAGUAGCGAUCUAAAUGAAUAUAAUUGAUACAAACAAAAUCACAUGCACAUAGGAGUUUUUAUCCGGACAAAAAAAAUCACUUACUGAACCGAACCGAUCCGAAUUAUUAGAAACAAUGAUGUGUUUUUUGAAGCUGUAUCCAUUCAUUUGUCAUAAUAUUUUCUCAACACCAAAGAUGCUGUGUUGUUCGGCCCAUUAUGGCCCAUAUACUGCUACAGUAAUAAACUUUUAUCCAAAUCUCGGGCUCGGUCCAGUAGGCUAAUGGGCCGUACCCGGCCCAUUAGUAGCCCCAAGUGGCAUCCCCUUUUUUUUUUUUUUUUUUUUUUUUUUUUUUUUUUGUUCCAAAUAUCUAACUUUAAAAUCUCUCAAAAAAAAAUAAAAAUUCUAACUUUAAACUUUCUGACACAUUUCAAUUCAAAUGGGGGCUCGAACCUCUAACCUUAUGAUCUGUAUUUGGGCAGUGUUUAAAGUAAUAAUACAGGAAAAGAAACUUUAGUUGGCUCGAAAUUUCCGACGAAUUCUCUACUUAUGAAUGAUAUUUAUAUACACAUUUUUAUUUUUUAUUUAUUCCCAUAAUUAAAUUGGACAAUCUCAUAUUACGAACUAUUCACACCAAUUUCUUCUUGUAUUAGUUUUCUCUCUCUGUGUGUGCUUCUCAUUUUGCAUUACAAAUGAUUGGUAAAUUCAUAUUUUGUUAAAAUGAGAGAGAAUUUGAGUUAUAAAAAUCCUACAGAAUAACGUUACCACAAUAUAAAUAUUGGACCUAGGUAAUCCCUAGAGAAAAAAAGGCUAUUUUUACAAAAUUCAUUGAAUUUCGUAAAACUAAGUUGAUAAAUAAUAACAAAUUUUAAUAAAUUUAUUUUUUAAUUUCAAAAUUCACUUUUUAGUUUCUAUUUGCACGUGGAAGUGUUGUGAAAAGUUUUGCGAGUACAAAAGCAAGCAAGGUGUGACAUCGAUGAUGACGUAAGCACAAAUGCGUUGCUAUCCUCAUCUUUUAGUCAACAAGAACUUUCCGACCAAUUGAAAUUAGGCAAAAAUUUUAUGGACAUAGUCUCAAACUUAAAGUUUUGGGGCAAUGCAGAUGGGCGCGCGCGGCGCGCAUCCUCGCCCUCCCCUACGAGGAAAAAAAAAAAAAAGUGGGCCUAAAAUUUGUAAAGAGAGAGAAAAAAAGAAGUUGAUGGAAAGAGAAAGAAAGAAGCUGAUGAAAAGAGAAGGGAGGGCGAGAAUGGGCGCGCGCGAGCCAUGCGGCGCCCAUCCGUAUCAUCCCGAAACUUUUAGUUUGGAAACGAUGCCCGUACAAUUUUUGCCCAUUGAAAUUAUUUGACAUACCAAUUUAAAUUGGAGUUAAGAUAUUAUUUUUAUAAUUUGUUAAAUUAUAAUAAUUACCUAUUGAAAUUGUUUGACAUACCAAUUUAAAUUGGAGUUGAGUUAUUAUUUUUAUAAUUUGUUAAAUUAUAAUUUUUUAAAUUUUUUAUCUAAAAAAAUAAUUUUUCAAAAUUGAUAUUGAAUCCUUGACCAAAUUGAACAUCUCGUGUGACAACAAUAAAACUUUUUCAUCCGAAAACAACAUAGUAUGCAACCUUUAGAGCAUAUUUAGAUGACCAAAUUUAGUACAUAACUGAGUGACAUAUUAUAUUAUCUCUGAGAUUGUGCCUAACUCAAUCACAAGAGGAUAAGUUAAUUUCUUUUUACUUUUCUGCUUUUAAGAAUCAAAAGUUUAGCAUUCUGUACUAAAUCUAUCAUAACUGUAUCUUUCUACUAAUUAGUGAAUCUGCAUCUAGAGAAGGUCAAUUAACUUAGAACCGUUAAGUUGCCUUUUGAGUUGCCAAAAUUGAACAAAUGAAGGGCAUUUGUAAAAACACAAUGGUGUGUUAUUAAGUCAAAUGAUCAAUGAUAAUUCAUAAGAAAGAGCUAAUAUGAAUUUUCAAGGGUAGAAAAGUAAAUUCACACUAAAUGUGCAAGGAAUAUAGAUGGUAUAUUCCCCUAAAUCCAGGUCUAAAUAAGCUUUAUUUCUUUUCAAUCAAUUCAUUCUAUGCUUUUUUUCGGCUCUUGCUUGAAUUGGGCUUAAUUUUGACCAAGCACUCAACAACAAUUUUUGGAAACUAAUUACAUCUCAACAAAAGGAUUGAUUGAUUGAUUGAUUAUUUAUUGCUAGCUAAAAUUAAUUUCUCUAUUUAUCUAUAUAUCCUUUUCAUAGUAUUGAGUUAUGCUUCAGCAUUCUUAGCAUAAGUAAGAAAUGAUUUAUAUCGCGGUUGUUGAUUCGUUUAAUUGAAGUUUCUACAAAAUAUAUUUUUCGGUUUAAUUAUUAAAUAUUUAUAAAAAUAUUGUAUUAUUUGUAAUAUGGCAGUUUCCUAUUGAACUAAUGCUUUUUAAAAGAUUUUUAUUUUUAUACUUGUGAACAAUAUGAAAAUAAUGUUACAGCUGUUCCAUUAUUGUAUUAUUUGUAGAAGAAAGGUUUUUUGUUACAGCUGUUCCAUAUGAAAAUAACAAUAUUUUAGUCAAAAGCCUCUACUUUCUAAACUUUUUUUUUUUUUUUUGAAGCAUGAUGUUAAGACAAAAUUACUAUGUGUACAUAUGCCCAUCAUUAGACUUUUAUGUUGAUUGAUGCAAUUAAUAGCACCAAGUCUUAUAUGGAGUUAAAUGAGAAAAUACUUUAUAUAACAUUAAACUAUCACCUUUGAGGUCAUUUGACCACUAAGUAAAUCGUGUUGAAAAAUUACAAAAUUCACUUGCUAGAAAGCUUAAAUACCGUACAUUAUAGUUAUCAGUGUUGAUUAUCAAAUCUAAAGUUCUAUCGUCGAAAGGAGCCUACAAAAUUAAAAACUCGAUGUUAUUAAUAGUAAGUAAAAAUGUAUCGAACUUAUCUCAACUAUCAUCAAUUUUGAUCUUACCAUCUAAUAUUUAAAAUUUUGGAUUUCUUUUUCUAAUCUGUUAAAGUUAUUUGAUUUAUAUAUAUCGUUUAUUUUUAUGGAUUUAAUUAAUUAGUAUAUUUAGUGCAAUUCAAGCAACUAUAAUUUAUCAAAAUAAGCAAUUAAUUUAAGUUUUUUUUUUUUAUUGGAAGAGCCAUCAAAUAAUAUAGAUCAAAUAGCUUGAAGAUUACGUAUUAAAAUUAAAAUUUUGAAAGGUUACAUAAUCAAAUCAAAAUGCUCUAUAGUAAAUUUAGAUUAACUCUAUACAUUUUCAGCUUACUGGCAUCUUAUUUUUUUGCUUUAAAAAAAAAUGCCAUCAGUGAUUUACACCCUUAACAUCCAACCAUUCAACCUAAGCGGGUAGCGUGCUACCUAUCUCUCUCUCAAUUAAAAAAAAAAAAAAAACAUCCAACCAUUCACAAUUUUUUUUUUCGAGUUUUAAUAAAGAAAGAAAAAUCGAUAACACUGGGGUCUGGGAGUAUGCAAAUAUGAUAUGCAGUUUACGAAUAUAUAGACGGUAUACUCUAUAAUAUAAAUAUUAAACAUAAUUAUUUAUUUUCACUAGGGACUUUUGGUAUAGAAACUCAUGAAAAAUGAACAAAAGAAGUCCAAAAACUUGGCACAGUAUUGAAAUUGAUGAGACUUCUCCCGACGUGAUUCGUCACCUAACUUUUUCUCUCACUUUCUUGAAAAAAAAAACCUACAAUAUCACAGUUGUACCAUAUCAUUAGUAACAAAUAAAACACAUAAAUUUUUUUAAAAAUAUAAUAAAUAAAUAUUUUUAUUAAAUAUGAUGAGACGGAUAAAAUUUUGAAAAAUAAUUUUAUUAAUUAAAAAUAUCAUAGGAGUAAUAUAAUUCGUGCAUUUUAAAAUUUUUUCCUCUCCUGCACUUUCCACGAGCUGGGAAAAUCUGAUAACAAGUUUCCACUGUACGUACGUGGGCGUCGGCGUUGGCGUCGGCGCCACCCUUACGAUUGAAACCAGCUUGCACACGUGCGGAAAAGACCGAGCCUGAGGACGAAACACGAAUUGCGGAUAAGCAUCACAGAGGGGAAGGUGAAGCGGAUGUAGACAAUGACGUCAUCUCGGAUACCAACGGUACAAGCUACAUGCCCACAUCCAUCUCACCCCUUUCCUCCCCACCCCAAACUUUUCUCCGCCCCUUUCCCCGGAUUUCCACGCGAAUAUCCCCCUUCCCUCCCAAAAAUUUCCAUGAAGUAACAAAACAAAGAGCCUUUUGCAGCAAUUCUUAGGUUAAAAAAAAAAAAAGAAAAAAAAAGAAAAAACUUCAAAAACCUCUCCUGUGGUUUCGUAGUUUCUCACUUUAUCCCCUUGUGGUUUCAAAUGUAUCAAUUUAUCUUCCUGUGAUUUUUUUUUCUUUUUCUUAUCAAUUUCAUUAUUUUUUUCUUAAAUCAGUGAUAAAUUUAAUUUAAAGGGUACUAAAGUGAAUAUUUGAUAAAUCUAGAUGAGUAUCUGAAAUUUUUUUGUAUAUAAUUUAAUAAAAUAUUAACGAAAAAACUACUGAAAAAUAAAAACGAAACCACAGGGGGGCAAUUUGAUACAUUUUAAACCACAGGGGGGCAAAGUGAGAAACUAUGAAACCAUAGGAGGGGUUUUUAAAGUUUUCCCAAAAAAAAAAAUAAAUACCAUCUCUAUAAUUUCAUAUUUUUUUAUUUUAGUAUUUUAUAAUUUAAAUUAUAUCAAUUUAGUAUUCCGUAAUUUUAUUUUAUUAUUUUAUUAUUUUUUUGUUAAAUCAACCGCAAAGUUAAAGCCAAAAGAUAGUAAAAUGAAUAUUCGAUAAAUAUAGAUAGAAUAUUUGAAGUUUUUUAUUGUAUAUAGUUUAACGAAAGAACUGACGAAAAGAAAAAAAAUGAAACCACAAGGUACUAAAUUGAUACACUUUAAACUACAGAAGUAGUAUUUGAAGUUUACCAAAAAAAAAUACAAAAUAUAUCUGAACUAUACACAAUUUUGAUAGUUAGCUUUUUUUAAUGUGAUAGUGAAAAAUAUUAGUUUUAUAUUAUAAAAAAUUUUAAAAUUUUAAAAAUAUUUUUAAUCUUCUUUGUUUUAUAUUAUAUAAAAUUACUGUUACAAAUGCGACAUAGAACCGCAAUUUUAAAGUAUUAUAAGAGGAAAGAUUAUAAACAAUUUUAAAUUUUUUGAGCUACCUAUAGUAUAAAAAUAGUAUUUUUUGUCACCGUAUUGCCAAAUUAGGGUGAGUCGACUAUUUAAUUUUUUUUUAAAUUUUAUUUUAGUAUCUAGUCUUUUAGUUUGUUUGAUUUAAGUCCGACGGCAACAAUUUGACAUAAAAAAAAUUAAGCUAAUUAUUUAUUUUAAUAAAUUUAUAGUUACAAAAAUCGCAUAAAGUAUACUAAUUAAACAUAAAGAUAAAUAACCCAUUUAAAAUUUAAAAUUAAAGUGCCAAUUAAAAUUUUGUAAGGUUGGAUAAAUUUGGUACGUUUGUGUUAUAUUUUUAUUUUGUCGCUUUACAUAUAAAAAAUUAUACUUAUUUAUUUUAUAAUUUUAUAAUUUUAUAAUUUUAUUUUUAUUUUGAUCGUAAGAUGUAUAGUUAAAUAGAAUAGUAAGAUAUUAUUUUUGACAAAUUCCAUAAUGAUAUAAGAUACCAACGUUUUGUCCUGUUUAACGAAAAGUUUUUACAGUAAAAUAAAAGGUAAAAUUACAGAGUAACUCACUAAAAUAUCUUUAUGUUAAAUUAAAGUUUUACCAGAAAAAACAAAACUGACCGUUCAUUUCAGUUUGACCACGCUCCAGAUCGUCAAUGCUCGAUCUGCUUUGACCCACAGCUUUUUGUCCCGACGCAGACGCUAAAGAGCGCAGCCAUGCCUGGACCCGGUCCACCGUGCAGCAAAGAACCUAAAAGUGCAAAAAUCAUGCAUGUGGUUUAUUUGUUAGGAUACGUUUCAAACGCUAAUAUAUUAAGAAAAAAUCUGAACUAUUUUUCUAUAACAUUAAUUUUAUUUUAGCAGAUUUUGAGUUUGAUUCCCGUAUCUGCUGUUUAUUAUGGUGUGACCUAUUUAGUAUCUGCUACAUGCAUACAUGAGCGAAAGUAUUGAAUUUAUUGCUUUUAUUAGAACGAACAGAACGUGACAAAGGGUUUGGUGAUUGAUACCGGAGGUUCAAAAUUCGAAUCCUAAUUGAUUCACAUUUUUAACUAAGUUUAUUUCUAAAUAGUAUAAACGAAGCGGGUAGCAUGCUACUUAUCUCUCAAAACCAAAAAAAAAAAAACAAAAAACAAAACGUGGUCUAUGGUGGACCGGGACCAGGGAAUGGUACGUCGACGAACGGUAGGCGAGCGAACCUUCCGCAACCCACCACGCCACUACGAGCUCGCUCGGGCCACCACGUGUCCGCCUUCUGGCGGGCCCCACCACGAGAAACUUGUGAAUAAAGAGAGGAGGCGAAUCCUCGGUCAUCUCUGACGCCUACGUGCCACGCCGCCACUUGUCACGUGCCUGACGCCUGGGCCCCACCACACUCCCCCCCGUCCCGACCUCGGCGCCACCACGUGUCGCCUCCGCAGUGAACGAUAUCCCCCACCGCGAGGAAAAAGCCGAGGCGAGGGUGAACACGAGGACGUCCACGUCACCACCACACCACACAUCCCCCCCUCUUUCUCUCUCUCUAGAAUCUACGAGAUAUAUAUAAAUCCCCCCUUGCAUUCACCUCCCCUGAACUCGUAGCAGCAGCAGCGCAAGCCCACACGAAAAGCGCUUCUCUCAGAAGCUAUCCACGUUUUCGCAAAAUUCGUUCUUAUCCGCUUCUUCGGAAAGCGCUCGAGCUAAUCUCACAUAGAAGCUAAAAUUCGAGCUGUGAAUUGAAGCUCGAUCGAGGGGUGAAGGAUGGUGAAGGAGAUGCGGCGAGCCGACGCGGAGGCGCAGCUGAACCUGCCACCUGGGUUCCGGUUCCACCCGACUGACGAAGAGCUCGUCGUCCACUACCUGUGCCGGAAGGUCUCCGGCCGCUGCCUCCCCGUCCCGAUCAUCGCCGAGGUCGAUCUCUACAAGUACGACCCGUGGGACCUCCCAGGUAUCUAUCUAUCUAUCCAUUUCUGUUCAUAAUGAACUAUUUUGUUUUCUAUUAGAUUGAUCUUUUGGAUAAGUAUGAAUUUUUUUUUUCUUCUUUCUUUAUGAGCAGAGAGGGCGCUGUUCGGGCAAAAGGAGUGGUACUUCUUCACGCCGCGCGAUCGGAAGUACCCGAACGGGUCGAGGCCGAACCGGGCGGCGGGAAGGGGGUACUGGAAAGCGACGGGGGCGGAUAAGCCGAUCCGCCCGUCGGGGAGCAACCGGCCGGUCGGGAUUAAGAAAGCCCUGGUAUUCUACCACGGGAAGGCGCCGAAGGGGAUCAAGACCGAUUGGAUCAUGCACGAGUACCGUCUCGCAGAGGCGAACCGCGCUCCCGGAGGGAAAAAGGGCAACUUGAGGGUAUGCAAAUGAAUCCGCCCUUGCUUAUUUUCUAUGGCACUACUGUACUGACUUCGGAUCGUAAAACAGAGUUCAAAAGUUAAAAAUUUUGUUUGUUCGUUUGUUUAAUUUUGUGCAGUUGGAUGAUUGGGUACUGUGCCGGCUGUACAACAAGAAGAACAGCUGGGCGAGAACGGCGGCGGCGGAUUCGAUGGAGACGAGCCACGACGCGGGGUCGGAGGCGAUCAACACGCCGGAAUCGGACAUCGACCACGACGACUACCACCUGUUCGACGAAAUGGCCGGCACCGGAGCCCUGCAGUACCGCCCGUUCGAUCAAAUGCCGCAGCUGAGGCCGACCGCGGCGGGCGGAUUCCCGAUUGUGGAGAAGAAGGAGGAGAGCGAUUGGUUCACGGAAUUGAACCUGGAAGACCUGCAGAGCUCUCUCGCCGUGUUCGGCUCCGGCGCGGCGCCGUCGCUCGACGUGUCGAGCCAAGAUUACUUCUUUUCGGGGUUUUGAGACAAGCAGGGUUGUGAAUGACUCUGUAUAGAUAGAUAGAGUAGGAGUUCAAAAGAGACCGAAAGGAAGGGAGAGAAAACACAGAGGGGAGAGGCAAAGAGGUUCAAACAAAUACUAGAUUAGGAUUUCUUUUUAGAUUCCCUUCUUUUUCUUUUUGAUUUUUGUCAUUUUUAAUUUUUUUUCAGGGGGAGAGGUUAUGUGUGUGUGUAUAUAUGUAGCAUGACUUAGUUGUAGAAUGGUAUAAUUUUGUUCCUGUUCUGAAACAGUGGCAGUAGAAGAGAUAUGUAAAAAUUGUUGGGGAGAUCUAAGUCACCUAACAAUGUAUGCGAUGUUCAUGAUCAUGAAGUUGGAACAGAAAUAAAUUUGCGUUCUCUUUCUCUUAUCAAUAGUUUUCUACACUUAAAAACAAGUUGAUCUCCAAAAGAAAAAUAUUUGAUGCGAACGAUUUGGCACCGGAUAUAUGGAAAAGUGAAAAAUACAAAGUCCAACUAUUAUACUAUUAUAAGUAUAAACUCUUUUGUAUUCAUAAGUUUUUUACCGUUAGAUUUAUCUUUUUAUCAUUUCUAAUCAUUGAAUCAUACUAUUCAAUCAGCCAUCCACUCAACCCUAGAGAACCACUAUCAUUCUAACUGUACAUCUUUUAUUUGACGGUCGAAAACUUAUGAUUAUAAAGGGAUCUAUACUUAUAAAAUAUGUUAGUCCUAGCCGUAGAUUUAUACCCUUUUUGGAUGUUGAUUUUAGGAAGAGAAACGUGAUUAUUUUUGCAGGUCAGUUUUGGUUGUUAAAUUUCAACUCAUAUACAGAUGUGUUAAAAUAAUACAAUUGCCCAAAGUUGAACAACAACGCAAGCUUAGUUUACUUGCUUUUGUAGGCGUGAUAGAAUAAAAGGAGAAAAAAGAAGGUUCAAUAUUUUUGGAAUUCAAAACGAAAAGCACACAAUAUGUUGUCGCGAUAAUAAUAUAUAUUAUUUGGUCCAAUAAUCAUAUUAUUUGCAAACCCAUUUAGUUCAACAAACACUUAAUGUAUUAAAUUUUUAUUUCUUACCUCGUAUAUUCUUAAGCAAGUUACGCAUAUGUGGCACGAACAUAGAACUCUCAUUUUAACCAUUUUCUGCUAGAUCAAUUUUUUCACACAAUGAUCAAAGAAAUAUAUAUAUAUUUUUUUGAGAGAUAGGAAGCAUGCUACUCGUUUCGUUUAUUUUAUUUAAAAAUAAACUUAGCUGAAAAUGUGAAUCAACUAGAAUUGGAACUUGGAUCUCAGGUACCAACCAACAAACCCUUUACAUCUUGCUCUAGGGACGGUCGGUAUGAUCGAAGAAAUGUUGAUCGCAAAAGGGGUGCGGAUACAUGAACUUCUUCAAGUGUAUUACUGUUGUCACAAAUCAAGGAAAUUCUAAUCAUUCAUCAAGUUCUAUACUAUGUUUUCCCUGCAAGUAUGCUAGGGUAUAUUCGUUAAAAAUUUGAGGAGAAAGAUGAAGUUUCAAAAGGAAACUUUUGAGCAUUCACCUACUAGGAUAUGCUGGACUCAAAAGCAUGAACUCUCAAGUCACCUACUGCUGCAGUAAUCACUACUUUGAUUAGGAGAGACAACAUUUAGUGGGAAAAGAUAUUGCUUUGGCGAGUUCGCCGAUUAAUUUGUCGUCGUCUUCAUUAAAAUGUAUUAGACAAACAAUCACAUGGAAAACUUGUUCAAAGCACAUGAUGUGUCUCCAUUAUGUACCUAACACCUGACAACAUAUCUUCUUUCACUACUGACAUAUCUCAAGACAACUUUAGGGGCCUUUUUGGUUUGGUAAUAACUAAUGACCAAAGUAGCACAUCUUUUACAAAUAAUAAGGAAAUUAAUUAUCAAGCUAUGUUUAAACAUGCAUAGUUCUUUUGGGACCCAAAAGGUCCUCUAAAGUGUAGUUAAUGAUACAAAUUUUUAAUAUGAUAUAUAAUUUAGUUGGAUAUUAAAGUGCUUGUUCUGAAUUGACUAAGCAAGUAAGCUUAGCUCUUAUUUUUAUAUUCAAAAUUCUAUUGUAAACAUCAAUACUCCAACACUUGUCCACCACACAAACGAGCCAAAUAUUAUGCUACAUUAAAAAAAAAAAAAAACUACAACUAUUAAUUGCUUUGGAAUGUUACGAAAAGAAAUCAAAUUAUAAUCAAAAUCACGAAUAAAGGUGCAUGGCCAAUUCUGAUUGAUUCUCCACAUUUGCCGACCUUGUAUAAUCGAAUGUCUUACUCAUAAUAUAUAGGAGAUUCUAUAUAGAUAACAUUUUUUUUUUAAUGCAAUUGAAUCCCAUUUUAUAUUUUUAUUUUCUUUGUACAAUCAUGUAGUCCACUUAACAAGUUACAACUCCACUUAUUAACCGCCAUUCUGGAUUCUGGAGGGUUGACUCAUCAAACAAAUGGGAUACCUCCAGGGGUAAAUUUGGUUCCCCAAAAAAUAAUAUAAAAAAACAACUUUUUGAUUAGAAAAACAUUUUCCCUAACAGUCUUUUUUUUUUUUUUUAUUCAUAAGAAAAUCUCCUUUUCAUCUGUAAAAGAGCAACACACUGAAAAUAUAUUUAUUUCUCAAAAAACAUUUUUUUAUAAUUUUUUAAGAAACCAAACACCUUCUUAAGCACCCAUACAACCCGGGGCGGGUACCUCGUAACAUUUAUCCAUAAAUUUUUGAAUAGAUAAUAUUUUUACAUAUACCUACCUGCAAGAGGGCCUUGCGGGCAAAUAUGCAGGUUACCGGCAAGAUUCUUUUCUUUUUUUUUUUUGCUUCUAUAAUUUUCAAAUAUAUAUAUAUAUAUAGUUCGGCUACUGUGCUAUCAAUAGCACGAAGCACUUGGUGCUACAAAAUUUUUCGCCGUUAGAUCUAUUAUUUUGAUAAUUUUCACCUGUUAGAUCAUACUAUUCAACCAACAACCCACUCAACCCUAGGGGGUCCACAUCAUCCUAACCGUACAUCUCUUAAUCCAAUGGCCAAAAACUUGGUAGCAUCAAUGACUUGGUGCUAUUAAUAGUAUAUUAGCUAGCCUAGUUAUAUAUAUAUAUAUAUAUAUAUAUAUAUAUAUAUAUAAUUUUAAAAGUAAAAGAUAACUUGUUAUUUAAAAAUAUCACAAUAUUAACAAACAAUAUAUUUUAUCAUUCUAACUUUUCUCGAUACAAAAUAAUAAAAUUUUCCUAAUUAUAGUCCAUAUUAUAAAAAUUAUAUAAUUUUUAAUUAAAACAUAUGUCUGCGAAUAUGCGUGAGUAUCCGUAGAUUGUCCAAAAUACCCACAUCUUACUGGAUACUAACCCAUUUUACAUUAUAAUUUUUUGAAUAAAAAAAAAUAGUAUCAAUAUCCGUAAAUUUACAAAUUAUCUAUGGACAUAAAUAGAGAUCGCCAGAUCUAAGCACCCUAAUAACAUUACUCUCAAACAAAUUUAAUUCUCUAAUAACUUUUCAUUACUUUUUAAAUUUUUUUUUUUUUUUAAUCUUGUGAAUAUUCUACUUGUUUCUAUCUCUCUGACGAUGACUCUUGCUCUCUCUAGUCUCUCCUUUGGACAAGUGGUUUAUAAAGUCGGUUUAGUUCCAGAACACGUGCUCGCGACAAGCGAUGAGGAAGAGAUCCACCUCUCUCUCGGGGUGGCUUUUGCAUCUCCACGUGUUGCGCGAGUUUAAUGCGAACAAGUCAUAAUAAAAUCAAAAAGUGCGAGAGAGAGAAUACCACCUAGCACGUAAGGACACAUGACUCACGCUUUUUUCUUUUUUUUUUUUUUAACCUGAUUUAUUCUGUUUCUAGUAGCUUCCAUCCACGCACUUAAUCAGCCCCUGCUUGAUGAUAACAUGGAUUUUAAUUGUGUUUAGAUGGAAUAGUCGAUUCCCCCACCCCUUAUAACUAUUUAAUUUUUAGAAUUUAAAUUUUAAAAUUUCAAUUCUGAAAAUUUUAUGAUUUGUAAUCCUAAAAUUAAAAUUUAUAAUUUUAAUUUCUAAAUUCUAAAUUUUAAAUUUUUUAAAUUUAAAAUUUGAUAUUUUACAUUUUAAAAUUUAGAUUUAAUUUUAAAUUUUAAAUUUGGAGCUUUGAAUUUUUUGAAUUUGAGUUUUAAAAAUUCUAAUUUUUGAAUUUUUGAAAUUUAAAAGUUAUAUAUAUUAAAAUUUAAAAAUUUAAAUUCAAAUAUAAUAUAAGAAGCAGUAUCAUUGUUUUCUAUUUAUACCUACCAACUAUAUUUUUAUUUUAUCUUAUCUAUCUAAACAUUAUUUUUCUUAUUUUCAGAAACAACUCAAUUUUCAUCUAAAUGCAAAAUUGAGCUAGUUCUUAGUUUUUACUCAUAUAUGAAUUUGUAUCUAUUCUUAAAAUAGACAUUUCUUAUUUAUACCCGAACCAAACGAAGUCUUAAGAAGAAUAAAUCAAAAAAAAACCUGCCACAGCAGGUCCAAGCAUCUUUGUAGGUCGGUAGAAGCAAACAAAUUUAAACCAAGCAAAAAUCUGCAAAUUCGACAUGAGGUUCACAAAAGAAUUUUGCGAUAGAGAACAUGCCCACGGUUCAAAAGAGUGAAUCAAUGUAUUUCGCCACUCUGAAGGUGAUAGAAUCCUAAAUAUCUUCUGAAACCGACAAAUCCACCUCCGCAAUGUGAAUAUAUGGGAUUUAAAAGCAAAAAAGAUAGUAUGACACAUCAAACUUUUGAAGGGUAAAUAUACUCCUGGUCCCUGAACUUCAGGUCGAGUUGCAUUUGGGUCCUCAAACUUUUGAUUUUGACAUUCAAGAUUCUAAACCUUCAAGAAGAUUUCAAUUUAGUCCCUAAAGUUUUAACAAUAUCUCAUUUUAGUACCUUAAGGUAAAAUAUUGCUUGCAUGUAAUUCAAGACUUUUUUUACAAAUAAUCCUCUAUAAUUUUAUAAUUUGCAAAAUAAUUCUAUCAAAUUUAUAUUUGGUAAACUAACCCUCUAUAUACGGUGAUCGUUCACCGCAUUCUGAAAGACUCCAAGAUUAUUUUAAAGACGGUGAAUCGUUCACCGCAUUCGUUAAGACGGUUAAUGAUUCAUCGCGUUCUUUAUAAUUUUCUUUUACACGGUGAGGAUUAUAUAUGAAAAUGAAAAAAAAAAAAAAAGUUGGUUAAAAUUGUACAUAGAUUAUAUGAAAAAUAAAAAAAGUGAGGUUGUUAAGUUUGUAUAUGAAAGUGAGGUUGUUAAGUUUGUAUAUGAAUUAUUAGAAUUUUUAUUUAAUUGUUAGGAUUGUAUGGAUAGAUUAUUAGAAUUUUCAUAUAUAAUCCUCACCGUGUAAAAGAAAAUUAUAAAGAACGCGAUGAAUCAUUAACCGUCUUAACGNAAGAUUUUUUUUAUUAUUCGGAUUGUAUGGAUAGAUUAUUAGGAUUUUCAAGUUAUUAAGAUUAUAUGUGAUGUUUAAUUAUUAGGAUUAUAUGAAUAGAUUAUUUAAUUUUUUUUUAUUGUUAGGAUUAUAUAGAUAGAUUAUUAGAAUUUUAAGAUUGUUAAGAUUAUAUAUAAUUUUAGAAUUAUAUAUAGAAUAUAAAAAAAAGUAAAUAAAGGCAUAUUUGUUUCACCGAAAGUAGAUUUUGAGUUGAAGUGGAUUUUGGACUGAAGUGAAGUUCGAUGAAAACUACUUUUCGGUUAUUUGUUUCGUAGUUAUAGAAGUGAAGCUUCAUUAGUUUUACUGUUUAUUUGGUAGAAAGUGUAUAAUAUAAAAUUAUAAUUCAUAUAUUUAUAUAAUAAAUAAUUUAAUAAAUAAAAGUAAUAUAAUUGUAUUUUUAUAUAAUUUAAAUUUAAUUUAAAAUAGCUAAAUUAUUUUUUAUACAAAAAUUAUUAGUAAUAUACAACAAUAAAAUUAUAAAGUAAAAAAAUAUUAAUACUUAACUAAUCAAUUUUUAUCAUAUUUUAAUUGUACAAAUUAAAUAAAAAAAUAGUAAGACUUAAUUAAUCAAUUUUUAUUAUAUUUUAAAUAUGCCAACUGAAUAAAAGAAUAACUAAUACCAUAAUUAAAUAUAUUUAAAUAUACCCUUCUUUACCUAGUAUAUUAUUUUAUUAUUUUUUUCUUUACCUCCCUUCACCGUAAUUAACUUCGGUCCAUGAUAGGCCAAAGCCCAUUACGCAGUUUCAGAUUAGCUCGAGUUUCGAACCAAACAACGAAAGUGAUCGUUUAUGGUGAAAACAACUUUCCCCCUCUCCAUUUCCACCUCACUUUCACCCAAAAAAACAUGCCUUUAGUGAAAGACAGUGAAUAAUUCAUUAUUUUUGUGAAAAAUUAGAAAGGCGGUGAAUCAUUUACCGUUUUUAUGAAGGCGGUGAAUUAUUUACCGUCUUUAAAAGAAAAUUCCAACUUGACUCUUAUAUUGCACAAAGAGGGUUAAUUUUUUAAAUAUAAAUUUGACAAAGUUAUUUCGCAAAUACCAAAAUUUUAGAGAGUUAUUUGUAAAAAAGUCGUGUAAAUUCAACUGUAGGUGCGUAUUUUUCUACAAAAAAUGGACAGGUAGUCUUGAAAUGUGAGACGGAAAAAAGAAUAAAAAAAUUUGUGAUACCUAGACGUAAGGAUGCACUAGGUAUAGCCAGUAAUUCUUCCUUUCGUAUAAAAUAUAGACGAGGACUAAAGUGAAAUGGAAUCAUUAACGUUGAAAUUAAAAGUUUAAGGACCAAAAUGAAACUUAGCUGAAAGUUCAGGGACUAGCGGUGCAAUUCUUCCAAGUUUUAAAUAUAUCUUUUGCUACCACCUCCUUCAUCUCCUACAUCACAUUAUAUGAACUGUAAAUCUGAAUUCUGCUAACAAAAAUGACAGUAAAUUAACAAUCAUUAGGAUGACACAGAUAACAUGCAGCACAAUUAUGUCAUCAACCAAUUUACCGAAAAGAUAAAAUCAGAAAAGUAAAGAUGAAAACGAAAAGGAGAAGAGUUAUCCAGCAAUAAAGUGAUCCAGCAAUAAACAUACAAAGGGUUAAUUACUUCGGUAUAAGAGAACAAUGUGCCUAGCAUGAUGCUGAUAGUCUAGUAAAAGAAACUCAGGCCAUAAUCAGUAAAGAAGGAGACACUGCACAGCUAACUGGCAUAAUUAAACAAGACACUUUUUUUAAAAAAAAAAGAGAACCAGAAUGAAAAUCAGAUAAUACCAGUCACCAGAUGGGAAAUUACCAGUAACUUACAUGCAGUGAUCUUCCUAACGGAAGGAACGAUGCCGCUAGCCCGCAAUAGCAAUGCUGCCCUCUCCGACAAAAGUUCAUGUCUGAAUGGUUAUCACCAGGAAAUUCGGCCUUGUAAUUUCUGCUGACAAUGUGCUGCAGCAACUCGACAAGACUAUCAGAUACAAUUAUAAAUAGCAGUCGUGCUAGCAAUCGUAGCUGUAUAACGUUAAACUUGAAAAGACAAAAAAAAACAAAAAACAUGGAUAUGGUCAUUUUGGUAUUUGCUGGCUCCGUCUUAAGGAGCCAAAUAUAAAUAAAAAAGAUUACAGCACAAGAUAUAGAAACUGGCAAAUUAGCCAGAAAAGUCAGGGUAAUGAAGGGCCGAACAGGAUCACGUGGUGAGGAUCCCUGCUUCUCGCACCAAGAACAUGCAAUUUGCGUUUUCUCCUCUGUUCUCAAACAGCAGCUUCAGACUGCCUUCUUGCUCUUUAGCAUGAGUGGGCAAAACAAUGAAACUUGGUUUAGUCGUAUGAGGAAGUCGCAGAUCACCUGUUAUAUCCUCUGAGAAGGGUCAGUAGUGUGGUUAGGAGACAACAAGAAACACGUAACUAGAUGUAUGAGUGUUUUGAUUUAGAGCUUAAUUUCAUUCUAGGGUCAAGACAUUCUUGAGGGUUGGAGUAAAAAUAAUCCUCUUCCUUCGGUCUUCCAGGGAUAACCUUCCUCCUUGCAGGCUGGCCCAUGCGAUUCUCGUGCAUCCCCUUAACUGCAGCAGAGAAUUCAUCCCAAGAUAACAUCCCUUCUUGGAGAAGAUCCAAAAGCUCGACUAGUUUCCUCCUAUCCAGCAUGAUAGUCUUACGGAAGCCUGAAUACCUAAUAUAGACAAACAUAAAAGACUUGUCAACAUAUUUUCAUUUAAAUGCCAAUAUUUAAAGGAAGUGUUCAAUAUUUUAACUGAAUUUACACGCCUAGCUAGAAAGUGUGAAAAUGAAGCGGUGUGAUCUAGGUUGUCUAAAAAGGUCUAUCAAAACAAAAGAUGGAACUAUCCACAAAAGAUCAUUCGAUAUUAUUAUCCCAAGCAAAGUGUUAUUAGGCUUAUUUAAAAUAUUAAUUUUGAAGAAGCUUGACGUGCUGACUUCAUUCUAGGCUCCAAAAAGUUGUGAACUCAUAUAUUCAGGCCAAAUAUCAUAUCCAAUAGUUCAUUGUUUGAUCUACAUAUUCUAUGCUAAAUUUACAUAGGUGUAGAUUCUCAAGGUUUAAAGGCCAAAUAUUACUUAGAGCCUCCGACCAUGCAUCAAACCGUCGUAAAUAUGAACAAGGCACUGGUAAUCUAGAUUUGCAGAAUACAGGACAGGCCUUUCAGUCUAGAUCCACAUAUACCACAAAUAAUAAAAAAUAUUAAAGCCCACGAAAUCAUAAUUGUAAGAUGCUUGAAGAGCAUAAAUCUAAGGUUUCUAUGUCCAACCUCCUUUUGAGACGGUUAAUUGAAGAGAAAAGAACUUCCAAAUCAAAUAAUUGCUUGCUCAUAGGUAUUGACAAAAUUUUCUCACGCCAAUAUAACAAUGGUAUCAUUUAAUUAAAUGGAUUAAUUGAGUGAUUAAUUGAGUUCAUUAAUUGUAGAGGUAUUGUAAUCUUUUGAGUGUUAAGAUGGUUAUUAGCGGCAGCAAUGUGUUGUUGCUGGAAAACAUCAUAUCCAAGAUGCAUAUUCAAGAUCAUAUCCAUUUGCAGCAUAUUCAAGAUGCACGCUGCCAUGAUGCAUGAUGAGAUACAGGUGAGUUCACGAUCAUGGAUCUUACUUUGGACCCUAUACCCGGAAACACAGCAUGUUAUCCAUUGGAGGUGAUCUACACAUGAAAAAGAUCUACACAAAAGCCAAAGACCAACAUAUAUCCAUAAACUCUGGGAACAUGUAUUACCCUGGGAACAUGUGUUACCGAAGCUCUGGGAACCUAAGCGUUACAGAUCAAAUAAUAGCUCUAACUGGAACAUUAAAUUGCAAAUACAUAUUGUGUGGGGGUGCAGGUGCACACAAUAUGUCGAAAAAAUUGUACAUGAAGUAUGCGAGGGAGGUGAUUUUGUGCUUCGACAAUUACAGCAUCAUACACAUGUAUGUUUGUAAUAAUAGCAAUUAGUUGGUGGUAUAUUUCUAUAUGCGGUUUCUCGAUUUGAUUUUACAAGACUAGUUAAUUAUGAGCAACAUUUAUUAUAAUUUUAGGAAGAGGCAAACCUGCGGUGCCCUUCUACAACUCUUGCCAUAUUUUCAUCAUAACUAGGUAUGAACACAUCACUUGCAACAGAAACCAUAUAGUCCAAUGCAGCCAUCUGGGUGGAGUGGUUCUUAAAAGGUCUCAAUUCCUCAGGAGAUAGAAGCAUCUCCUUUCUUACCUGUUGUUUGACACGAGAAAAUCAUAGAUAUAAAAGUACAGCUUCAUAUAAAAAGCCUUAACGAUAGAAAUGGAGCUUACUAUUUUAGGAAAAGCCUCCCUCAAAAUAGCCAGCCUUCUUUCACCACCAUAAAGUUCACCAGAGGCAACAUAUAUUAAAGUGUCCCUUGUGAAUCCUAGUGCCUUCAGCACCAACGUUAUUUCCUCAGGUGUAAGAGGGCAUAGUCCUUCCAGUCUCUUCUUUUCAGAAUCGAUUUCCUUCUCUUUCCACCACGGAUAUGCGUAUCUAAAGUUUCAAAUGGAAAGCAAGCAAAGCUAUAAGUCAUUAGGGAAAAAGCAAAGGGAGAAUUACACCAAGGAUCAACUUUUUAGCAACAUUUCAGUUUGGUCCUGAACUUUUCCAUUGUUACAAUUGGGUCAAAUUCUCCAUCACUUGGACAGAAUUAUCCAUGUAAUUAUCGUCUAACGAACCAUGAAGGAUAUUUGGACUGAUCGCAUGGCAAUUACGGGGUGUAUUCCAACCAUUUAACAACGGAUAAGAUGGCAACCAAAUGCAAAUGUUUGAUACCUAAUUUAAAAAUUCAAUAAGUCCGGUGGCCAAACUGAAACCUUCUACAAAAAGGAUGGGGAUCCCUAGUGCAGUUUACCCGGAAAGGCAACAGAAUGAGAACAAGUACUGUAAACUAAAAUAGACGAUACACCUCAUUCUUGUCAAUUCAUCAAUUUCUUCAUCGGAACAUCCAUGUGUACAGCCAGAAAAAGAGAGCAUAUCCAUCUCAUAUCGCAAGUGAAGCACAACAAAGGACCCACUUUUUCGAAGAAUUGAGAUAAGCUUACUGCCUAAAGCUUCAAUAUGUGGAGUAAAUCUUAUUGCCUCAUAGUUAACACGACAGCGAAGCAUUUGGAGCUUACUUGGGAGCCCAUUGUUCGCAAGACGAGCAUCUGUCUUAUUAAAGUGGAGUACUUUGUGCUUCUUCACAAGAGGCAUGAUCUGCAGGAAAAAUAGCUUUUAAAGAUCACAUGCCUGUAAGGCACACCAGAAGUACUACCAUUAUUAAUGAAAAAUAAACAGCGCUGACCUUUUUUAAGUAAUAUUUCUCAUUAGACCAGCUUACUGGAGCAAUUGAGAAUGGUUGCCAUUGUAAUUUCCUACUAAAUUUAUCAGGAAUCCUUUUGACAAUCUUUACCUCAUCUCUCAAGGAAUUAAUGAAGUGAUUUACGUCAAAUAUAUCCUCAAAAUCGCUGAAAAAACGAAAUGAAGCUUAUAUGAGAAGGCAGAACUUGAAGGAAUACUAAAUUAAUCUCAAUCAGUAAGAAAACAGUCUAAAAACCAAACCUUGGAUCAGCCCAAAAAGAUGUUUUAUCAAGUUCAGGAAUCACUAAGGUCAAAUUUAGGUAUCUCGCAAUAGUAACCAUAUCACAAAUCUGCAAGAACAAACAAUAUAAAUAUGAACUACCAUUGUAAGAUCCCACUGAUAUCUAGUAGCAUUUUAAUCCUCAUCAUUUUGAGAAAUUAUUGCAAGAACCAGGGCACCACGCCAGCUAUGCACCUCCACUUCUAAUGCCCUCCAUCCUACCUCACCCUUUUGAUCCAAUCAACCAGCUCAUUUUAUGGAUCGGAAAGUGAUAUGGGAUGCAGGGGGAUAUAUGGCUAACAUUGUAUCCCAGGUCCAGGCAAUAAUUUCUUUAUCCUUAGGGCAAGAAACAAUGGUAAAGGCUAUUAUGCCAAGAGAUUACACACCGCUGCUCGCAUUUGGUUCAGGCCUCCAUUACAUGAAACUUUAAGAUAGCCAUUGCUUUUAUAAACUCCUGCACGAGAGUAUGAAGAUAUAAAUUAUGCAAUAUCUACCAGUGACAUGCCAAAAACAGCAGCUACAUGCGACAUAACUUUAGGAGAGACAACAUGUAUAAAGCAAGACACAAGGACAUAAAAUAAUCUAGAAGACCGUACAAAUAAAUAGAAAUGUACUUUAUAUUAAGGGCGUGUUUGGUUUGCCCCAUUUUCAUCCUGUAAUCAGAAUCGGAAUGGACGAAUCUGUUUGUCUGUGUUUGGUACGCGGGAUUUUCAUUCCGAUUCCAAUUCCGAUUCCUGGGUAAAUGGGAAUCCCUCCCAAUUAUCCCUCUUUCCAAUCCGACCUAGGAGGCCGGAUUGGAAAUUGAAUCCGGGCGGAAUAAAUUUAUUCGGUUUAAAUUUAAUUCUUUUAAGCUUAUUUUUUUAAUUAAAAUAUAAGUUUAAGUUUAAAAAUUAUAUUUAUAAAUUUAAAUUUUAAUUUGAACUUAAAUUAAAAAUUAAAAUUCAAUCAAGUAUUUCGAAUCUAAUUUAUAAAUUUAAAUUUAAAUUUAAUUUAAAAUCUAAAGUUUUAUUCAAAUUUUAUUUAAAAUUUAAAUUAAAUUUUAGGAUUCAAAUUGAAAUUUAAAUUAUAAUUUUUACCCGAACAAGAAUCGACCUGGCAUUCUACGAUGGAGACAGUGAUUCCCAAGAUGUUUAAGCUACAAACUCAGUCCAAUUAUGAAAAUUACAAAUUUCAAUCAUACAAAUAAUAGAACAAAUCAAAAGAAAAACUACACUUGUCGGAACGUGCGUGCGUUAUAGUUAUCAAGCAAUUCUUGGAAAAUCAUCAAUUGACGAUAUUCAUCAAUUAAAAGAAAAGAGGAAUAAACCCCUAAAACUUCAGUUUCCGUUCACAAUUCCUAUUCCUAUCAAUACGCAAGAACAAUUAAACCCUAAAAUCCCUAAUUCAGUUCAAUUCAGAAGAAUCUAAGAUUCGAUCCAAGAAACCUAGAGAAUGCAUCAAGAACAAAAACCUAUUUUAGAUCAAAUCAAAUAGUAAGUGAGAGAGAGAGAGAGAGAGAGAGAGAGAGAGAGAUGGAUCGGAUUGGGACCGACUCUUCGGGAGGAGCGCGGGAGGGGAAGAGUGGGCCCCACGGAGCGCGCCCUCGUCGUCGCCGAGGACGGCGAGGUUACCGGCGGCGGGGGUCGCGGUGGCGGCGCCGCCGCGUCGGCCGAAGCAUGCGGCGGCGGAGGGCCACGCGUCUCCGAUCCGCGGGUGCCGGAGCCCCGCCAUCGUGGCGAGCUGCAUCACCGCCGUCCACAGCAGGGCGCUCGUCGCCAUCCGCACCGUCCACCGUCGCAGCCGCCGCCGCCUCCGCAUCCAUCCGCCGCCGCCGCCGCCGCUGCUGCCGCCGCCGGAGAAGGUGGGCUUUCGCGCCCUCCGCUCCUCCGCCAUGGCCACGGUCCCCCCGAGUACGAAGCUAUGGACGCAUUGGGGAUUAUACCGUAGAAAAUAAUAGAGAAAAGAAUCAACGACUCAAUUAUAAAAAGAAAAAAAAAGUUUCGAAUUAAACACACAAAAAGAGAGAGAGAGAGAGAGAGAGAGAGUAAAAAUGGGAUUAAAAGGAGAACUUUUUCAAGAGAGACAUGAAGGUAGUUGGGAAAUUAGUAAGACGCUUUCAAAGUUUACUUUUUUAUUUUUUUAUUUUUGUUUUUCCUUUUGAGGGUUAAAAUACACCAUAUAGGUCCAUAAGCUAUGAAUCUUUAUUGUUUUUGUUUUAUUUUCUUUUUUAAUAAAAUUAUUUCGGUCACUUUUUUUUAAAAAAGUUAAAGACCAAAAUAAAAAAUCAGAUAAAAUUUGAGUGCUGGUGGAUAAUUAAUUCUUCUUGGCCUUCUAAAUUUUAAAUUAGUUUUCAUUUCUUAAGAUAGUGAUAAGUCUCAAAAUUUUGUUUAUAACAAGUCAAAGUUUAGUAUUAUAUGUAGUUUGUAGUGCCCUCAUGAAAAUUUUUAAUUAUUUAUUUAUGUUUAGUAGUUACCUCAUGAAUCUCGCACCACUUAAGAUUACGAAGGAUAAGCUAAAAAGUCUUCGGUGUGGUGUUUACAACCUUGCUUGUCAUUAAUGUCUCAGUCAAAUUUAUGAAUUUGAGAAUCAAAAAUGUUUUGAUCAUCUUAAUCAAAGAAUAAAUUAUAAAAUAAUUUUAGAAGUAAAUGCACGAAAGUUUAUACUUUUAUGUUGUUGAAUUUAUCAACAAGACAUUUGAACUUAUGGUCGACAAACAUUAAAUAUGAUUAAAGAAUAUAAAUUUUGUUGUAUUCAAAUUUUGUGAAUUUUUUACAUCAUUUGAUUAGUGAUUAAGUGGUCUCAGAUUCUCUUUGUAUUAACCACAAGAAAUAGUCAAUUUUGAGACUGAAAUGUUUAAAAAAAAUUUAAUAUUAAAAAAUUGAAAAGACUGAAAAAAUUAGUCUUUGAACUAGUAAGGGUCUAAAUGUUAUCUCAACUUUUUAAAUGCACAAAUAUCAUGGCUCCUAAAAAUUAUGGAGCAAUAAACAUACAGCGAAAACUUUAAUUUAUUCCCCCAUAUAAUAGUAACAGAUUUUUACCGGUCUAUAUAUAUAAUAAAUUACUAAACUAUCGAGCCCGGCUGGAAUACUAUCGAUAGUACGAAGCAUUUGGUACUAUCAAAUUUUCUGCCGUUAGAUUUAUCUCUUUUAUCAUUUGUAUCUGUUCGAUUAUACUAUUCAACUAACCACCCACUCAACCCUAAGAGGCCCAUAUCAUCCUAAUCGUACAUCUUUUAAUUUAAGGAUAAAAAACUUAAUAGCAUCAAGUCAUUGGUGCUAUUAAUAGUAUUCCAAUCUAAUUCCUAAACUAUCCUAUUUAGUGAGGAAUUAUUACGGUAAAAUAGAGAUGAAACUACGAAAUAGCAAAAUAAAAAAUUUUAAAUCACAAAAUAGCAAAAUUGAAAAUGCACUAAAUAAUACAAGAAUGGUUAGUUGAAGUUUUUUUCCGAAAGAACCUUAGAAUAGCGAUAUUGCAAAAAUUCCCAAAAUACUAUUAAAUAUUCGGAAUAAAUAUGACAUUUGAACUGCUAAGUGAUUGCUAAAUACGCAAUUUUAUCAAAUUAUCAUUAUUAAUACCUUCUAAGCAGCGACACUCAAUCUCCAACCUUCCGAUCCGAUCAUAGAGAAAAAAAAUAACAAUCAUACUCACACAUUCAAACAAAAUCGAUGUGGCCGAGUACAAAUAAUCAAAACCGAAGGGGCCAACUUGAAAUUUUUACUCUGCUAUAAAAAUCCAUCCGAUUUGAAACCCCCCGGCUCCUGCCUCUUUCUUUCCCUCCAAACCCCCCCCCCCCNCUCCAAAUCUCCCCCCCACCCCCCCUCCCAACUCCCAAUUCCCUCACCUUCACCCCCAAUCCAUCAAGAAAAUGAAGAACGUCGGAUUCUCGGCCUCCGACGACGACGAGGAGAGCGGAAUUGGGCCCUUGGCGUCCUUGCCGGCAAAUGUCAUCUCCCGCAUCGUGUCGAUGUUGCCCGCCACCGAUUACGCCGCCCUCCGGUGCGUCUCCAGAUCGUGGCGCGACAUCGUCUCCUCCAUCCCCUCCGCCCACCACCGCGAUCAGCUCCCCCUCCUCCUCAUCCCCCCGUCUUACGCCCUCCCCGAUCCCCUCCUCCUCUGCCGCCGCCGCCGCACUCUCGGUGCCAACAAUCCCGUCGGGCCCGUCGUCCGCUUUCCCUGCCUUGGCGACCGCCGCAUUCUCGCUCCCCCCAUCUUCCCUCUCGACGUCCCCCGCGACUGCUACCGUCUCCCUUCCCUCGCCAACACCGCCCGCCACGUCUGCGUCGGCUCCUCCUACGGCUGGCUCGUCCUCCUCGGCCCCUCCUCCCACAUCUCCCUCCUCAACCCCCUCACCGCUGACACCAUCACCCUCCCUCCUCCGCUCUCCUCCGUCAGCUACCUCUUCCCCGUCCGCAACCACGACAUCGACGAAUACCUCCUCCCGCAGGGCUCGCACCGCCCGCUCCACCUCGCCGCCCUCAUCCGCGUCGCCGUCCUCUCCGCGGACCCCUCUGCCGACCCCUCCGACUGUCCCUCCUCGUUCCUCCUCGUCAUCAUCCUCGGAAAUGACGUCACCUUCCGCGUCGUCACCUGCGGCCCGGGCAACGGCUAUGCCACGUGGAGGCACCACUGGCUCCACCACCACGCCGACAUCGCUGCCACCCGCAUGACCGACCUCGCCUUCCACGGCGGCCUCUGCUUCGCCGCCGUCAGGGGGCGGUACGUUGCGGUCUUCGACUUCGGCGCCAGUCCGGCGUUCCAGAGGCUCCUCGAUAUCAGGGACAACGACGGCAAUUACAACAGUCCAGCGAGCUACGCUGGCUUCUUGGUCGAGUCGGAAGGCGAGCUUCUGCUUGUGAAGAGGCUUGGAGAGACCACUGCGGCGCGCAUCUCCAUCUACAAAUUGCCUCCGAUCGAGGGAGACGGGGCGAUCGUGCCGGUUCCCAAGGACGGCCUUCGCAGUCGCGCCUUGUUCUUGGGCACAGGGAAUUCCGUGUCGGUCGCGGCCCGAGACUUCUCGCAGUUCGUCAGAGGAAACAAGGUCUACUUCACCGACGUGUGUUGCGAGCCGGGAGAUGAUCGGGCGGUUUUCGUGGGCCGCGUCUUCGAGUCUGACGUUGCGCAGGGCUCCACGAGGAGGGCGUUCGGAGUGGUGGAAGAGCGCGACGUGAACAUGUGGUUGCAUCUGAGGCCGGUUUGGGUUACGCCGAAUUUGCGCAGGAGAGAUCCACAAGCACCAAGAGGUUCAAUCUCGCAUAACAACACUUCCAUUUUUGAUUCUCCCCUGAAAAUAUGCUCAUAGUUUUCAUAGUCAUUUUUACAUGCCUCAUAUGUUCUUCAUUCUAUUUUACAACAGAAUUUCAAUUUCUUUUAUGACUUUUGAGGUUUCUUUUUCGUUCUAAUUGUUGCUGAAAACAUCGUUCUUGUCGCUUUUUCGUGUCAUCGAGAUUCUAGACUUGUUCCUUGAACUAAGCCAAACUAAACUUUUAGUCCUUUAGCUGAAGAAGCUUUACAGUAGUGAAUUCCACAAACAUGCGAUUUUUAUUGGUUUUCAUGCUUUAAUAAGUUUGCUGCGCACGUUUUUAAGUUCUUUUCUGAUCAGAAAAUACUGCAGUAUGAACACUCCAAGUUCUGAUUAGACAAUUUUGAAGAAUAGUGCCAUUAUCAGACAGUCGUAAUCUUCAGUAACGAUGCCGCUGAGGCGCUCGAGACUGCUUACUUUUAUUGAUUUAUCGUGUUGUUGUCGAUAUAGUGAAACUUCAAUUCACACCUUGAUAUCGAGUUGCCUCGUAAGAAAGUAACUUUGUUAUUCUUGUCCGAAUUACGCAAUUUGCGCUGUUUACGUCGAUAGCACUCAUAUUUCGUGGAAUAUAAUCGUAAAAGUGAUCGUCUUUCGUGAUUCAGGUCACUCGACGGAUGAAGGGAGGAACUGAUGCGGCAAUUCGACCCUUGUAACUGUUCUUGAUUCUCCAGCUUCAGGGUCAUCAAUACAAACUCUUUCAGUUUUUGUACAUAGGGAGAUCAUAUAUAUAUAGAGUAGUUCUAUGAAACUUCUAAAACUUCUUUCAUACAUUGUAUCAUAUCUGAUACAAAAAGCAUUUUGUACAGUUUUGGUUUGAACUUGAUGUACCAUCUAAGAGCAUCUGCUGAGAGUGCACACAGCUGUCAGAAACUGAUGAGACAUAUAUGCAAGAAAUAAUUUGAUCCUUCUGUGUGAUGAACAGCAUGAUUCAUCUGAAGUAAACAUCUAACUGAACCAGUUGACUUCAUGUUCACAUCUGAACCUUAUUUUGGCUUUUUUGAACGAGUGAAUGAGGCCAAUUGCCAGCAGGUUAAGCAUUUUAGAUCAUUUUGUUACUCGCGCUAGAUGCAGAAUGAGAAGGUUGAAGCACGAAAGAGGGAUCUAAACCUGUGCAUCUUGCUUAAUUUCAAAUAACUAACAACUAGAAGCUAUUCAAUUCUUGAGAUUGAACAAAACACUUUUUUAACAACUAACAUCGUGUCUAAGGGUUGCUAUUCAGAUGAUUGUCCAGAAGUUAGCAAGUUUGAUGUUCUGUACAUGCCAUUUAACAAAAUAGAAUUUGAGUCCUCGGUUUUGUGGAUUACAAAGUGCUAGCUACUACUUUGGUGCCUGUCUAUUAGGUCAGAGAUUUGAUUCCCAUAUAUGUCAUCUGAAAGAGAAAUACUACUUGUGUAUACACAAGUGGAAUGUAAAUUUUACACUAACCCAACCAAGGGUUUAGAUAACUUUUUUGGAUUUUUAUUAUUUAAAAAAAAAUUGAUAAGAUUAGUUCGACAACAUUAAUAUUUUGAUGUAUAAAAUAUAAGAUAUAUAUUUAUUUUUUGAGUGUGCAUAUGGCAUUGCUCUAAGAAAUAUAGGGCGUGAUAUAAAUAUUAGAAAAACUUCACGUUGCCCCUUUGUAAAUUCGCACAUUUUCGCGUAGCCAAUAUGUGGUUGAUUUUCUUUUCUUUUUUUUUGUUUUUUUUUUUUUUCCUUUUCUUUACUUUGACAUAUUAUGUCUUAUGCCUUUUUAAUUUUUUAUUUUUUUGUGUCACUACAAGAAACUUUUGUUGAGUGGUGCUAAAAUAUUAUAAUUCACACCAAUCGUUCCUAAUGUAAGUGACAAAGAAUUUAAUGAUUGGUAUCCAGGUUUAAAAUUCGAAUUCUAGUUAAUUUACAUUUCCGGCUAAGUUUAUUUCAAAACUGAAAUAAAUGAAGCGGAUAGUAUGUUAUCUAUUUCUCACAAAAAAAAAAAAACUUACAAAGCACAAAUAACUAGUGUUUUAUAAAUUUUCAAAUAAUAGUGAAAGAUUUUUAUCUUCCUGUUAAAAUAAAAUGAUGACAAAACUUCCAAAUAUUAAAAACAAAACUUUUCAAAUCACAGUACGACGAAAUUAAAAACGCACCAAAACAAUAGAAGCCGAUUGAAGUUUAUCUGGGGAUGUAAAUGAAUAUGGAUAUUCUGACACCGAAUCCAAAUAGGGUGAGUUUUAACUGAUGCUAAGUGGGUGUACUUUUAAUUAGGUAUAACAAAACGAAAACAUGAACCCAAAUCCAAACCCAAAUCCGAAUCCGAACAGAACCCAAACCCAAACGGGCUUUCUACUGGAUAAUAUAUAAAAAUUUCAAUUUGUGUCCUAAAAAUUUGGAUUCGAAUAAGAUAUGUUUUAAAAUUUUGUAGAGAAGGAUGAUUGCUUUAGGGCUCUGGGUACGGUUGCCGUGUUUCAUUUCGAAUUUUGGUUUUCUUAUCGGCUUGGGGUUUGGCUAUGGCUUUUCAAAACCGACAGUUUCAAGUUCAAAUUCGAAUUUAGAUAUCAAUUUUGCUAGUUGGGUCCGGGAUUGAAUUUUUAAAGCCCAACCUGUUGACAUUCAUAAGUUUGUCUAAACAAAACUCACGACAUCUAUGUGUAAUUAUUCUAUCCCGUAAAGAGUAUGAUCAAAUAUUAGGUACGAUACACACAAGUACACAACCUUCAAAUUAUUUGUUUAAAAUAAAUUAAAUUAUGGAUAAUCAAAUAAGAAUUCAUAUUGACGUCCAAACAUGAUCGAGAGGGGGCAGAGUGCAAAUUAGUGAAAAUUCAGGGGGGUCAAAUUGAAGUUUUGACCCCACUAUAAAAGCCCCGUCCAUUUGAAUCGCCUCAACUCCCGCAGCUCCUGUUUCUUGUUUUCCCUCCAAAACUUCUCCCACCCUCCCCUCCCAAAUCCCCCAACUCCAACCCCCCAAAAUCCACCAAGAAAUCGAAGAUGAUCAAACCCUUGCCCUUCGACGGCGAUGGCGAGAGCGGAAACGAGCUGUGGGCGCCCUUCCCGUCGGAUAUCUUGACCCACAUCGCGUCGAAGCUGACUGCCGCUGACUACGCCUCGGCCCGCGCCGCCUGCAAAUCUUGGCGCGCCGUCUUCUCCUCCGUCGCCGCCCCCCGCCGUCCCCACCCGCUCCCCUUCCUCCUCCUCCCCCCGCACUACACCCUCCCCGAUCCCCUCCGCCUCCUCAGCCCUACCCCGCCCUCUCCCGACUACCCCCUCGGCCCCAUCGUCCGCUUUCCCCGCCGCCUCAACCGCUGCUACACCAAUUCCCCCAUCUUCCCCCUCGGCAGCGUCCGCAAUCCCACGUUCCGCCUCCCUCCCCCGCUCUCCUCUGUCCGCUACCUCUUCCCUGUCUCCGAUCCUCGUGACGUCGACCAACACCUCCUCUCGCCGCCUCAUCAACCUCGCCGCCUCCUCCACCUCGCCGCCCUCGUCCGCCUCGCCGCCCUCUCCGCCGACCCCUCCGACGACCCCUCGUCCUUCAUCCUCGUCAUCGUCCUCGGGAACGACGUCUCCUCCCGCUUCUUCACCUGUGGCCCGAGCGACAGCUACGCUGCGUGGAAGCCCCACAGCCCGCUCAGGUUCCCUGCCUACGGCCUCACCGACCUCAUCUUCCACCACGGCCGCUGCUUCGCCGCCAUCACAUGGAGUUACUCUGGGCGCUCACUGCACGGCCCUGCAGACGCAAUCGCCGUUUUCGAUUUCCACACCUAUCCGGCAUUCCAGAGGCUUUUGCAUGUUCGGAUCCGCGAAAACUAUGUUGCGAAAAACUAUACCAACUUCUUGAUUGAGUCGGCCGGUGAGCUACUGCUCGUAACCAGGCAUGGAGAGAUCAAUGCGGGGCGCAUCUUGGUCCAUCGUUUGCCUCCGUUGGAGGGGGAUGGUCCGUUCGUACCAACUCCCGAGGCCAACCUCGGCAAUCGGGCCUUGUUCUUGGGCACGGGGAAUUCCGUCUUAGUGCAAGCCCGGGACUUCCGGCGAUUCAUCCGAAGAAACUGCGUCUACUUCACCGAUGUGUAUCGCAAGGUGGUAAACGAUCGGGCUGUUUCCGUCGGCUGCGUCUACGUGUUCGACAUGGAGAAAGGCAUCACAAGGAAGGCGUUCGAAGUGGCGCAAGAGCAUGAGAUGAAUAUGUGGUCGAAUCUGAGGCCGUGGUGGGUUACGCCCAAUUUGCGCAAGAGUGAUCCAUGAGCACCCAGAGGUUCGAUCUCGUAUAACACUUUCGUUCUCCCUGCACGCACUUUUUGAGUUUUUAGUACGAAUUGAAGAUUAUGUCGAUGAAUAUGGUUAUGAAUGAUUGUUAUAGUUUAAGCGCGUUUUUGCAGGCUUUGUUCUAUGGUAGUA